GCCAAAUAGAAAAUUAUGAUAUAUAAAUCACAGAAAUUUUAUUUGAUGAAGUAAGAAGAAGCUCCUGACUCGAGUUCUAGCAACCUCUCCUCGUCUACGUUUAGCAGAGGGAGAAUAUCGUACAGCACUAAAGGUAACACAACUGGAGGAGGUUAUGCAUACAAGAAAGCUAAGUGAUUAAUCGCUAGGUCUUUAAAACGGAACUGGUUUCCCCUUAGGAUAAUCGACAUAAACCCUCCCCUUGUAGCGUCGAGCUGCCUCGUUGCUGUCGAUAACUUCUGUUGCAGGAACAUAGUAAUAUGUGGGAUGAGCAUAGGGAACCUUCAUAACUGGUGGCCGCCGGCUCCUGGCCCGGGCGAAGUGCUCAUCAAUGGCUGCAAAACCCUCCUGCCCAAUCUUAACAAGACGAUCUGCCAUGUUAACUACAAUUAAUCAACACACAAAGACAAGUAGCUGUUUAUAGGUUUUGUUGGUUUUCUUGUUUUGGCUAAUAUGUAGGAGGCCAAGCCAACCUUUAUAUAGAAAGGAAAGGUUUGGUUGACAACAGCUGUGAAAUGAAUAUGUUAGACAGUACUCCAUUUUGUAAAUAAAAGCACCCAACAUUUGCAGAGAGAAAAAUCAAUAGCUUUUCUUCAUCUUAUCACUACUGACGAUAAAAGCAUCACAAAAUGAAAAAAAGAUUAUCAUCAAUAGUUUAUUAAUAUCAUAUUUAAACACAAAAAAAGUAAAAACUGUUAGAUUUGGAUGUGUUCAAUAGUUAAACAUUAUUUUUUAUUUACUAAACAUUAUUUUUUAUUUAAUAUAAAAUAAAAGAAGUAAUAUAUAUGUAUUUGAAUUGAUAUCUCUAAUAAUUGCUCUCAAGUUAGUUCGAAAGUAUCUGUUAACACUAUGGACAGUUAUUGUUAGUACUUGGUGGCACAAAUGUUCCCUUUCGAGUGCAAAGUUCCUAAAAUAUAUAUAAAACAAAAAUCGCAUUCAAUUAUUAAACAAAUGAUUCAUUCCGACAAGUUUCGUAGAAUCGAUGACUCUUUGGUUUAAUGGUGAAUCUGAUUCUUUUUUUGGUAAUCUUUUUUUCUAUUCUUUUUUUUUUCCUUCUUUAACUGAUCUUUAUUCUUUCCAAAACCUAUAUCUUUAUUUCUUAUUCUAGUUAACACGAGAUGACUUGCCCGCGCGCUGCCGCGGGCUUAUAAAACAAAUGCACUUGAUAGUGUUAUAAUUGUGAACCAGCGCUAGAUAAGUAAUAGAAAUUAAAGGUAUGAUGAAGCAAAUAUUUCUAACACGAGAUGACUUGCCCGCGCGCUGCCGCGGGCUUAUAAAACAAAUGCACUUGAUAGUGUUAUAAUUGUGAACCAGCGCUAGAUAAGUAAUAGAAAUUAAAGGUAUGAUGAAGCAAAUAUUUCUAACACGAGAUGACUUGCCCGCGCGCUGCCGCGGGCUUAUAAAACAAAUGCACUUGAUAGUGUUAUAAUUGUGAACCAGCGCUAGAUAAGUAAUAGAAAUUAAAGGUUGUGUUGGUGAUCAAAAACUUAGAGACUGAACAAAAUGAUUUGUAGCAAUCUACAGUGUUUUGUGAGGAAAGAUACAGUGUUUUCGCCACAUGAUUUAACUUUUCAGUUAAUAAAAAGCAAAAAAAAAAACUUAAUAUUAAAAAAAAACCAACAAAGAUAAUUUUGGAAGGAAAAAAACCUAUGAGAAAAAAUGUUGCAGCAAUUGACAAUGUUUUAUGAGGAAAACUAUAGCGCUUUUCCCAAUAAAAUAAACAAAAAAACUAUUUAGAGAAAUAUUGUAGCAAUCCACAGUGUUUUGUGAGAAAAACUACAACGCUUUCCUCAUAUGAUUUAGCUUUAUUGUAAUUAUAAUUCUUAACCAACUCAAUAUUAAAAAAAAAUCGACAAAGAUAAUUUUGGAAAAAAUCAUAAAAAAAUCACAUGGGAAAACACUGCAACAAUUCACAAUAUUUUAAAGAAAAAAAAUAACAAAGCUAAAUUCUUAAUCGGCUCAAUAUUAAAAAAAAAUCAACAGAGAUAAUUUUAGAAAAAAAAAUAACAAAACAAACACCAAAAAAAAGGGAAAAAAUCAUGUUGGAAACACUGUAGCAAUUCACAGUGUUUUGUGAUGAAAGCUACAGUGCUUCCCCACAUGAUUUAGCCUUAUUUGUAAUGACUUGUAAUUGUAAUUCACAAACAACUCAAUAUUAAAAAAAAUUUGAAAAAGAUAAUUUGAAAAAAAUUAUAACAAAAAAAAAUUAUGUGGAGAGACACUGUAGCAAUCCAUAAUGUUUUAUGAGCAAAGCUACAAUAAUUUCCCCACAUGAUUAAGCUUUAUUACAAAGUUAAAUUUUAACCAACUCAAUAUUUAAAAAAAUAAAAUCGACGAAAAUGAUUUUGGAAAAAAAUAUUACAAAAAAAGAAAACACAAAAGAAACUGGAAAAAAACCAUGCAAGGAAAAACUGUAUCAAUCCAUAGUGUUUUUUGAGGAAAAACUUGUAUUUACUUGUAAUUACAAUUCUUAACCAGCUUAAUAUUUAAAAAAUAAAAUUGACAAAGAUAAUUUUAGAGAAAAACAUAACGAAAACAGGAAAAAAAUCAUGUGGGGAAAAACACUAUAGAAACCAACAGUAAUUUUCAAGGAAAGUUAAAGUGUUUUCCUCACAUAUUGUAACUGUAAUUUUUAACCAGCUCAAUAUUAAAAAAUAAAAUAAAAAAAGAUAAUUUUGGAGAAAAAAAAAAACAAUGCGGAGAAACAUUGUAGCAAUAAACAAUGUUUUAAAGAAAAAAAUUACAAAACUAAAUUCUCAAUCAGCUCCAUAUUAAAAAAAAUCAAAAAAUAUAAUUUUGAAAAAUAAAGAAAUAAAAUAGAAAAACUAUGUGGAAAAAUAUCGCAGCAAUCCACAGUAUUUUCAAGAAAAAAAUUACAAAGCAAAAAUUUUAACCAGGUCAAUAUUUAAAAAGUAAAAUCAACAAAAAUAAUUUUGGAAAAAACAAAAGAAAAAUUAGGAAAUUUCAAAAAAAAAUUUGAAAAAAAAAGAACAAAAAAAAAAAAAAGGAAAAGUUAGCACAAAAAAAAAGGAGAAAAAUCACUGUGAAUUACUGUUGUAAUCCAUAUAUAGUGAAAUGUGUGGGGGGGAAUAGUAAUUCCCCCACACCAUUUAGAGUAUGUUUUAAUGAGAUAAUUAGUACAAACAAGUUAUGGCUAUGGUUAUCCUUAGAAGGGGCAAUCCAUUGAGAUCUUAUGGACAUAUGGUUAUCCUUAGAAGCAUUCUGGACAUUGUACCUCUCACUCCCAAUAUUAUAGUACAAACAGUUAGUUAUGGCUUUCCGUUUUGUUAAUAACAAUAGGAAAAUAGAUUCUUUAUUUACUUAAGGAUGUUGUAAUAAAAUACAAUGUCUUUAAUUGUUUUUAAAGAUAUUUUCUCAACACGAGGUUAUAUUCCAGAAUUCAACAAGUUUUUUUUCUAAAACAAGGGUUCCAGAAACAGCUAGACCAAGAUCGAAAGGAAAUACCAGCAAGCUUUACAAACACAGAAAAAUACUAUGGUUUUUUCAGCACAUAUUGAUUGUAAGAGUGCAUGGUAUAUAUAGGUUGUUAACAUGAAACAACUAGGCAAAAAAUAAAUUAAAAAAUUAAAGAAAUAAGUUGUGUAAAAGUGCAUGGUAUAUAUAGGUUGUGUAAUAUAAAGGAGACUCUAUGUUUACAAGAAAUAAGUUGUAUUUUUUUAAAUAUAUGAUAAAAAACUUAUAAAAUAAUCUUCAUUAUUUACAACACUAGAUUCUAAAGUAAGUGGCAAUCCAUUGAGAUCUUAUGGAUGUGAACAUAUGGUUAUCCUUAAAAGCAUUCUGGACAUUGUAUCUCUCAAUCCCAAUAUUAUAGUACAAACAGUAAGUUAUGGCUUUCCGUUUUGUUAAUAACAAUAGGAACAUAGAUUCUGAGACCCCUUCAUGUGUUCAUAUGCUCACAUUUUUUAACAUUUUUUUGAUACUGGGACAAGAUAUAUCGUUUUAUUUGUGUCUAAUUCCUCAGGACUUACCUUGAGAGACCAUUUUCUUGGAUGGGUACUCUGAACAGAUUUCAGUUCUAUGUCAGAAAAAGAACACUCUCUCGGAUAGGACCCAUUUUGUGGCAGUUUCAUGCCAUCCAAAGUUCACUAAAAGCCGAUGCUUACAAGUAUUCUCAAAUAGUAUUAAGUAUUAAAUUCUUAUGUAAGGUAGAAUGAAAUUUGAAAAGAUUUUCAAAUAAUUAGAUAUGCUAGAUUAAUCAGUGAAGGCACUUUAUUCUAGCUUAAGGAUGUGCUAGAUUCUGUAGUAAGGAUCAAUCCAUUGAGAUCUUAUGGAUAUGGACAUAUGGUUAUCCUUAGAAGCAUUCAGGACAUUGUACCACUAAAUCCCAAUAUUAUAGUAUAAACAGUAAGUUAUGGCUUUCCGUUUUGCUAAUACUAAUAGGAAAAUAGAUUCUGAUACCACUUCAUGGGUUCAUAUACUCACAUUUUUUUGAUACUGGGACAAGAUUUAAGAGAUCAUGGUAUGUUGCAUUUGAUAUUUAAAUAUAAAUCUAUUAAUUUUUUAGAUUGAUAAUAAGUUAAAUUACUUAAUUUAUUUAAUCUUGUUUUGAAUAGGAUUAUGAUUUAUAUUUGUGCUAAUAUAUUCGAAACCUAAUAAUUCACAUGGAUGAUUAAUCAAGCAUGAAUUGUGUCGCCCAUGUGCGCGUGAUGUUGCAGCAUCAGGAUUAAGGAGUCGCCACCUAGUUAUGUGGUUCAGAGUCAUUAGAAGACCCAAGUAGACUGAUCUUAUCUGAAAUUUCAGGGUAAAGGACUAGUAUUGGCUAGAAAAAGGUGUUAGCAUCCUUACUUGAGGUAAGUUAUAUUGUGUUGUCAUGAGGCGGUUUAAACGUGUUGAUGGGUUCCUAACCGGUAGCUCAUUUAUGGCUCAGAAAAAAAAUUACGCCCACAAAUAAAUCUGACAUUUCAAAUUUUUUAUGGGCUCGUAUGCUUAGGUAAAUUCUUAUAAAAAAAUUCAUGUAGGUGCUCUGACAGGAGUCACCUAUCCUGAAAGGCGAAAAUGUUUUCCACAACUCAUAUAUUGUGAUGAAAAAAUACUCACAAUUAAAAUUGAUGAAUAUCCAAAAUAAUUCUGAAAAUUUUCUAGUUAACUUCUGGUACUUAAAUACUAGCCUAUUGGUAGGUCUAACAUUUAUACCAGAAUGUUGACCUUUAAUUUUUAGAAAUUAAAAUUUUUAGGGUUAUUGAAAUAUUGGCCAAAUCCUUAAGGAAUUUUGAAAACUUAUUGUAAAUUACAAAAAUUAAAAAAAAAACAAUGCUAAAAACAUUUUCCCCUCCUUUUUAUAAAUAAAUUGCAAUGUUAUGUAAGGAUUGAGACGUAUGCAACAAACCAAAAUUAUUUUCUGUUUUUUUUUUAUUAUUAACAGAACUCUAAAACACGUGGGUUUUCUACUAUACAUUAAUACAUUGUGGACUGAGAGAUAAUUCAUUGUGGACUUACUGUACAUUCAUGCACUGUGGACCAAGAGACAAUUAACUGUGGACUUGCACAAUUGUUUCGCUAUGUAUUAAAACUUACAUAGUUGCUUUGCUAUGUCUUAACACGAAUGAGGAUUUUCUACUGUACAUGGAUUGUGGCUCAAGAUACAAUGAAAUGUGGACGACACUGUAGCACAUUGGGGGGUGUUCCUUACCUGUGUUUUUAGUCAAGAAUUGCAGCUGGGGUGGCUCAUUUGACUUUUGUCAUUAAGAUGGGAGUGAUGCAGCGGCAGAGGUGACAUUUAAUUAGAUCAGACUGUCGACACCUUGCACUUGGGUAGCCAAGCCAGGGUGUUAGGGCCAGCCACGCGCCCCUAGCCGCGACCCCAAGGCAGCAAACACUUGGCGCUAUGGCUGGCCGAGGCCUCAGCAUGCAAACACCUGGCGCAGGGUGUGACCAGCCUUGAGCGCUAUGGGCAGACCCGCGUGCUUGGAUGCAGCCCCAGGGCGCUUGGCGCUUGAUUAUUUGUUAUGAUAAUAUUUAUAACACAAAUUAUAAUAUUUUUAUAUUAAUACUUAGAAUAAUAAUUAAAAUAAUAUAUUUAUAACACAAAUAAUAAUUUUUUUGAAAUGAAUACUUUGAAUUAUAAGAAAAAUAAUUAUAUUUAUAAUACAAAUAAUUAUAUUUUUUAUAUCAAUACUUUGAAUUAUAUUUUUAAAUCUUUAAAAAAUGAUGGUUUUUCUUCAAUAGCAAUAAUAGUAUUUUUAAAAUUUAUUAAUGAUAAUAAUAAUAAUAAUAAAUUUCCCAAAUUUAUUAAUUAUUAUAUGAAUAAUAUUAAUUAUAAUAAAAAUAAUAAUAUGUAUAAUACAAAUAAUAAUAUUUUAAAUUAUAAUAAAAAUAAUAAUAUUUUUAAUAUUAAUACUUUUGUAUUAUAAUUAAUGUAAUUAAAAUUAAAAUAUUCUUAGUUGUAUUAUAAAUAAUAAUAAUAAUAAUAAUAAUAAUAAUAUUAACAUUAAAAUUAUUAUUAUUUGUAUUAUAAGUAUUUUUAUUUUUAUUAUAAUUAAUAUUAUUCAUAUAAUAAUGAAUAAAUGAAAAAUAUUAUUAUUUGUAUUAUAAUUAAUGUUAUUGAAAUUCAAGAUAUUCUUAUUUGUAUUAUAAAUAUUGUUAUGUUUAUUGUAAUUAAUGUUAUUGACAUUAAACAUAUUAUUAUUUGUAUUAUAAAUAUUAUUUUUUUUAUUAUAAUUCUCUUGGGUCCUGCUACCGCACCCAAGAACCCAAGAGAAUUGGGUCAUGCAUCAGGACCCAAUUCUUUUAGGUCCCGCGGCAGGACUUAAGGGUAAUGGGUCCUGCGUCACGACCCAAGAGAAUUGGGUUUUAGCUUUCUAAAUAUAAUUAUUUUUAUUAUAAAUAUUAUUAUUUUAUAAUUAGAAUUAUAAUAAAAACGCAGCCAUGGAGCCAGACCAAAAAAAAUACAACAUCAAAAAUAUUAAUUUGAAGUAAAGAAAACAAUUAAAAAUUUUCAAAAUGUUUUCAAAGCAUUUUUGAAACGCAAAAACAAAUAUGCUUUAAUAAGAAAAUUCAAGAAGAGAAAUAUCAAAAAUAUAUAUAAAAAAAGUAUUCAUAUAAAAAAUAAGAGAAAAUAAAAAAAAAUUAUUAUUUUCUUUUUACACGAAUGAAUAUUUUGAUUUGAGUAUAUAAAAAAUUGAUUUUCAAACAUAAAAAAUAUAUUAUUAUUUUUAAAUAAUUUGAUAAAAUAUGUGUUAAAUAUUAUUAUUAAUAUUGUAUCAACUUUGGUCAAGCAAGUUUCAUAUUAUUAUUAAUGUGAUAAAUAUUAUUAUUUGUAUUCUAACUAUUAUUAUUAUUAUUAUUUUAAUUAAAUGUAUUAAUAUUAAGAAUAGACAAAAAUUGAAAAAAAACAAAUAUAAUAACAAUUAUUAUUAUUAUUAUUAUUCUUUAAAAAACAUUUUUUGAAAAAAAUCUUAUUGCACGCCCAAAGCGCCUGGGUGGACGCACACCCCCUAGGGCUGCGAAUACCUAGCGCUUGGGCUGACAGGCCUGGGCGAUGGGUUGGCCAUGUGCAACUGCGCACGCCCCAGGCUGCUGCCACCUGGAGCUAGGGCUGGCCGAGGACCUAGCAUGUAGACACCUGGCGUUGGGUGUGCCACGCCUGGGGUGCUAAGGGCAGACCCGCGCGCCUGGCUGCAGCCCCAGGGCGAGCGGGUCUGCAGCCCCGCAACCCUGGGGUCUGCAGACACGCGAGGUAGGGUCUGCACCCCGCGCUCCUAGCCUCCUGACCCGCGCACUGGGUGCAGACCCAACCGCCGAUGUCUGUUCUAACCGCCCUUGGGUUUAGAGGCUCGCACGGCUGGAUCAGCAGACCCUGCAGGGGAAAAAAAAUACAAUAACAAUUAUCAUUAUUAUUAUUGUCUCAUUGUUAAUUAUCAUAAAAAAAUUUAAUAAUGUAGAUAUUAUUAUUUGUAUUCUAAAUAUUAUUAUCUUUAUUAUAAUUAAAAGUAUUAAUGUUAAGGAUAGAAGAAAAUUGAAAAAAAAAUAUAACAACAAUUAUCGUUAUUAUUAUUGUUAAUAAUUUUUUUUUAAAAAAAUAUAUUAUUUUAUCAACUUUGGUCAAACAAGUUUCAUAUUAUUAUUAAUGUGAUAAAUAUUAUUAUUUGUAGUCUAAAUAUUAUUAUUUUUAUUCUAAAUAUUUUUUAUUUUAAUUUCAUUGAAUGUUAAAAAAAAUAUUAUUAUUUGUAUUAAUAUUAAAAAUAGAAGGAAAUUGCAACAAAAAAAAUUACAAUAACAAAUCUCAUUAUUAUUAUUAUUAUUGUUGUUGGUAAAAAAUAAUUUAUGAAAAACAUAUUAGUGUAGGCCCCAAGUGCCUGGCUGGACGCACAACCCUUAAGGAUGGGGAAGCUUGGUGCUUAGGCUAUCAGGCCUGGAAGGGGGGCAGGCCACGUGCGCCUGCUCGUGCUCUAAGUUGCUGCCACCUAACACUAGGGCUGGCCAAGGCCCUAGCAUUCAGACACCUGGCACGGGGCCUGCCAUGCCUUAGGUGUUAGGGUAGACCCGCACGCCUGACUGCAUCCCCAGUGCGAGCAAGUGUCCAGCCUUGCGACCCUGGGGUCUGCAGACCCACAAGGCAGGGUCUGCAACCCCACGCUCCUGGCCUAUGGACCCGUGCGCUGAGUGUAGACCCAUCCACCUAGGUUUGUUCUAACCGCCAUUGGGAUUAAAGGCCCCACAAAACCAGCCAUACAAAAUCUCAAUAUUUUUUUAAAAAAUAUAUAUUAAAAAAAUAUAAAAAAAAUUAAAAUUUGCAAAUUUCUUGGGUCAUCGCAGACAAACACAAUGCCAACAUUUAAAAAAAAUACAAAAACAUAAAAAAAAAAUUAAUUUGAAGUAAAGAAAAAAACUUCAAAAUUGUAAACAAAAUUUCAAAGAAUUUUUAAAACGCAAAAUUAAACAUGAUCUAAAUAAUUUGAAUUGAAGAGAAAAAUAUCAAACAAAAAUUAAUUUGAAGUAAAGAAAAAAAUGAAUUUUUUUUUAAUUUCUUGAGACUCGUCUCUCAACCAGACACAAUCUUAUUAUAUGUUUUUUAAAAAAAUAUUUAAAAAAUAAUACAAAAACAUGGAGAAAAUAAUAUUUUGAAGAAAAGAAAAAAAUUAAAAAUUUUAAAAUUUCUUGGGUCUGGCGUCACCGCCACACAUAAUCUCAACAUAUAUUUUUUAAAAAAAGUAAUACAAAAACAUAACAGAAAUAUUAAUUUCAAGCAAAGAAAAAAAACUUAAAAAUUAUCAAAAAUGUUUCAAGGAAUUUUCGAAAUGCAAAAUCAAACAUGAUUUAAUUAGGAAAUUCAACCUAACCUGAAAUGGAAGAAAAUUAUUAUCACUCAACUUUCAUACAAUAUAAAAAAAAUCUCAUCAAUUUUUUUUGAAAAAUAAAUUUAAAUCAGAGAAGACAACAAUAAAGAAAUUUAAUUGGGUAUUGUUGUUGGGUCUGAAAGUCAGUCAUCCUUAUUGAUCAAUGGUCUUGCAUUAAUAUUCAAUGGUGGUGUUAUAUUGUAGUGAAAAAGAUAUAUAUAUAUUUACGAUGUGCAGAGACAUAGAGAGGUAUGGGGAUUGAAUUCUCACAUACGUGAUAACAUGGAUUUCCAAUCCAUCUACCAAAGAAAAUCAAUUUUUUUUUUUUUCAAUCUUCCUAUGUCGAUGUCCCUAGGAUGGAUUACUUAUACUAUAGCUAUUUUGGUCAUGCAUGGUGCAGGACUCAACACCCUCCAAAGGUGUUGGGUUUGGCUGCGCAACCAUACCCAAGGAUAUUGAGUAUGGUUGCAAAGCCAGACCCAACAGCCAUACACCCUGGGGGUCAUACCCUGCUAUGUUUUUGGUCAAAAUUUACCGCUAGGGGCUUUGCCUUGUCUUCCCAUAGCUGCUAGGAGACCCAACAGAGUGGUUGACUGUGGGCUAUUGGGUACUGCUGACACCUGGACCCAAUGACGUUGGGUCCUCCUCAACCCUUUAGAGUUAGGACCCAAGAGCUGGGGGUGUUGCCUUCUCUACCAAAAGACCCAACAACGUUAAUAUUUUGAAUUUGUAAUUUUUGAAAUAACUUUUCACAAGCCAGACCAGAGAAAUUUGAAAAUUUUUAAUUUACUUUAAAUUAAUUGUUUUUUGAUAUUUUUAAAAUAUUUUUUUUCAAAAUAUAUAUUGAGAUUGUGUCUUGAAAAUUUUUAAUUUUUUUCUUUACUUAAAUUUUUUUUCCAUGUUUUUCUAUUAUUUUUUAAAUAAUUGUUUUUAAAUUUGUUUUUAGACUGUGAAGCAAAAGCCAAGAAAUUUGAAAAUUUUUAUUUUUUUUUAAUUCAAAUUGAUUUUUUAUAUAUAUUUUUAUAUUGUUUUUUAAAUAUUAAGUUUUUAAAAAAUUAUACUGAGAUUGUGUCUUGAAAUGUUUUUAUUUUUUUCCUUUACUUUAAAUUACUUUUUUCUAUGUUUUUCUAUUAUUUUUUAAAUAUUUUCUUUUAAAAAAUAUGUUGAGAUUGUGUCUUCAAAAUUUAAAGUCAAGAAAAAAAUUAAAACUUUUUAAGAUACAAUCUAAAUAUAUAUUUUGAAAACAAUCUUUUAAAAAUAAUACAAAAAUGUCAAAAAAUAUUAAUGUAAAGUAAAUCAAAAUAUAAAAAAUUUUCAGAUGUCCAUGGUGCUGAUGGAAAAUUAAUCUUUUUCCAGAAGUGUAAGGCUAAAUAGAUAUUAUGAGACCAAUAUAUUUUUCUUAUUGUCAGAUUUUCUUUUUUCUUCUAUAGUUUCUAGUGCUUGGUAUGUAAAUAUUAUCAUAAUAGGUUUGCGUGAAUUCAUAAAAUAGAUGGGAAACCUAACCACGCACGCAAACUAGAGGCAUGCAAACCAUGAAAUAUCUUGAGUAUUUGUGUAUUACAUGGCUUACAAACAUGUAUUAAUUUCCUCUUUGGAUUUGUAUCUUCUUCUUCGUUAUUUUAAUUAUAAUUAAAUCAAUUAUUAUUAUUAUUAACAUGGAUCUAGCAUCCCCUUCCAGACCCAAAAAACUAAGACUUGACAAGAGCACAUGACCCAUAGUUUUAAAAAUACUUCCAAAAAAAGUUAAAAUUUUUUAAUUAUGUUCUCUAAUAUAUAUUGUCAUAUUAAAGUUGAUGGAGCUCUCAAGAAAUUUUUUAUUUACAUCAUACACUUUAUAAAUUUUUAGUAUUAUAUAAGAGAUUUUAUUUUGGGUAAUAAAAGAUAUUUCACUACCAGAAAUUCGCUAAAUACCAACGGAUUUACCGACGGAAUAUUUCUGUCGGUAAUUUGAGGUCGAAAUUACCGACGGACACUUUUCCGUCCGUAAUUCAGUCAGUAACUACCGACGGAAUAUUUUACGUCCGUAAUUCAGUCGGCAACUACCGACUGAAUUACGGAUGGAAAAGUUUCUGAAUUAAAAAAAAGGCGGGUCGCUGACGUGGAGGUUUUGGCGGUUAUUUGUUUUCCGACGGAUUCAAAACGACAGUCCGUAUAGUGACAUGAUCGGUUCGCCGUUUAAAUUGCCGACGGACUCACCGAGGGAUUUGAAAUGGCAGAUCCGUACGGUGACGUGUCUAUGUUUUCGUCAGAAUCACCGACGGUUUCACCGACGGAAUUUCCAUCGGUGAAACCAUCGGAAAAAGUUAAUAUAUGACAGCUCUGGCGACCCACUCCUCCCCUAUUUCUCCUUCUUCUUCCUAAUCCCAACUCUCCCCAUCUCCUUCUUGAAGUUUUGUGGUCACAGCAUCCGUGUUCUGAUUUACCGACGGAUUUUAUCAAUUUUUGUAAGUAAUUCUAUCUUUUUAAAUUUUAACAUUUAAUUAAAUGUCAAUUUUAUUGUUUUUUUAGUAUAUGUAUUUUGGUAGCAGAUGUACAUGUUUUAUUGUUAUUUCUCAAACAAACUUGUAGUAUAUGAAUGUAUAAUUCUAUACCUGUUAUGGUUUGUUUUAGAUUUUGUAAGAUUGUAUUUGUUUGUAAAUUGUUAAAACUUUAUGGAACUACCGAAGUACAUGUGCUAUUUUGAAAUAAUUAAUAGCUUGCUUAAUGGGUCCGUUUAAAGUUUUAUCAAUGGUAUUGCAGAGUGGUAAUUUCUGUAAAUUUAUAUAUUUUAAUUCGUAUGGACGUUGAUAAAUAAUAAUGAAUAUUUAAUAUUUAUGAAAAGUUGUGAUUGGUUUGUUGGAUAAUCUCGAGGUAAAGUAAUAUUUUUGCAAGUUUAUUUACCUAACUUAGUUAAUUAAUACAUGAUGUCAUCAUAAUUUUAUAGAGGUUCGAUAUAAGUCAUGGAUGAUCGUUCAUGGAUGUAUCGAGAUUCACCCCAAGGAUUGUGGAGGAUGGAUUAUUGUAACGGGGUUCAGGGUUUUAUUAAUUUCGCAACAUCUAUUCCCAGAAAUUUUACUAGAGGCGGUAUUAGGUGUCCAUGCAGGAAGUGUGAAAAUAAAAAGUAUCUGCAUCGAGAUGUUGUAAUGAUGCAUCUUCUACACAAAGGGUUUAUGGAGAAUUACCAGUGUUGGUAUGCACAUGGAGAAGUAUUUGUUAGCGAGAGUGAGAGGAGAAUGGAAGAAACGAUGGUUGGGUCUACUUCUAGUGCUAGCAACGUGCAUGAAGCGGCAAAUGACAACACUAAUCCUUACAGAAAUAUGGUUAUGGAUGCAAUGAGAAUGAAUCAAGGUAAUGGCAGUCAAUGUCCAAUCGUAAAAGAAGAACCUAAUACAGAUGCAGCUAGGUUUUUUGAUUUGUUGAAAGAUUCUGACGAACCAUUAUGGGAUGGCUGCACGAACCAUAGUAAAUUAUCGGCCGUAGCACAGGUGUUCACCAUCAAGUCAGAUCACGGGUUGAGUGAGGCCAGGUAUGACAAGAUUAUUGAAUGGGCAAGAAGCAUUUUACCUGAAGGGAACAGGCUGAAAGAGAACUUCUAUGCUGCGAAGUCCAUGAUGAAACCCCUCGGUUUAGGAUACCAAAAAAUUGACAUGUGCCCUAACUUCUGCAUGUUAUACUACCUUGAAAAUGCUGAGAUGACCGAGUGCAUGACAUGCGGGCAUUCCCGUUACAAACCUAGAACUGGCAGGGGAAAGACUCUAGUGGCAUAUAAAAAACUUAGAUACUUCCCGAUCACACCUAGACUGCAGAGGUUAUUCAUGUCACCAAGGACUGCUGAGCACAUGACAUGGCACCAAGCACACCAUGCGGUUGAUGGAGUGAUGGUUCAUCCUUCUGACGGCGAAGCAUGGAAACGCUUUAACAGUGUUCAUCCUCACUUUUCAGCUGAAUCAAGGAAUGUGCGUCUUGGGUUGUGUACAGACGGAUUCAACCCAUUUGGGUCAUUUGCUGCUCCUUAUUCUUGUUGGCCGGUCAUACUCACAGUUUAUAACUUGCCACCGGGAAUGUGUAUGAGGCCGGAGUUCAUGUUUUUAUCUACUGUCAUACCCGGUCCAAGAAGCCCGGGGCGGAAUAUAGAUGUUUGUCUUCGACCGUUGAUUGAUGAGUUGGCGCAGUUGUGGUCCUUCGGAGCUCUGACUUAUGAUAUAUCAAGGAAACAAAAUUUCCUUAUGAGGGCGGCAUUGAUGUGGACUAUCAAUGAUUUUCCAGCUUAUGAAAUGCUUUCUGGUUGGAGCACGCAUGGGAAACUCGCAUGUCCAUACUACAUGGAAAACAACAAGGCAUUCACGCUAGCAAACGGAGGUAAAGCUUCUUUUUUUGACUGUCACCGUCGCUUCUUGCCACUUCAUCACAGGUACAGAAAGAACAGAAAAGAUUUCUUGAUUGGCAGAGUUGAAAAAGAUGUUGCAUCCCCGCGUCUUUCUGGUGAAGAAUUGCAUGAUGUUGUCUUAGAGUACGGUGACAUUGUGUUUGGCCUUCAAUCAGGUAAGCAAAAGUUUCCUGGUUUUGGUUUGACCCAUAAUUGGGUAAAGCGAAGUAUCUUUUUUGAGCUUCCUUAUUGGAAGACCAAUCUGCUCCGCCAUAACCUUGAUGUCAUGCACAUCAAAAAGAACAUGUUUGAGAACAUUUUCAACACCGUCAUGGAUGUGAAGGGGAAGACAUAGGACAACAUCAAGGCUAGAUUGGAUAUAGCUUUAUACUGUAACCGUAAAAAUAUGGAGUUGGUUUAUGAUGAGUCACGGGUCGCAAAACCAAGAGCAAGCUUCGUGUUAGAGAAAAACGCACAACUGCUAGUCUACAAAUGGCUUAAGAGUCUGCGUUUUCCGGAUGGACAUGCAUCGAACAUAUCAAGGUUGGUUAAUAUAGAGGACUGUAGAUUGUAUGGAAUGAAGAGUAAUGACUGCCACGUGUUUAUGCAAACACUCAUCCCAUUAGCUUUUUGUGAUUUGUUGCCGAAGGGAAUAUGGGAUGCACUCACGGAGAUCAGUCAUUUCUUCAGAGAUAUAUGCUCCAGCAAGUUGAAUGUUGAUAACAUUGAGAGGCUUCAAACGAAUAUCAUCGAGACACUAUGCAAACUUGAGAUGAUAUCCCCUCCAUCAUUUUUUGACUCAAUGGAGCAUCUCCCUAUAUAUCUACCGUUCGAGGCAAAAGUUGGAGGACCGGUCCAAUAUAGAUGGAUAUACCCAUUCGAACGGUUAGAUAUUACAGUUGCAAUGUAAUUCAUAUAUAAAAGUAUUUUAUAUGUUUUUCUUAAUUGAAAAUACUUGAUUAAUAUUUCAAUGCAGGUACUUGUUUAAUCUCAAGAAAAAGGUUAAGAACAAGGCGCAUGUUGAGGCUUCGAUAUGUGAGGCCUAUAUUGUUGAGGAGAUCUCAACAUUUAUCUCGUACUAUUUUGAACCUCAUCUGAGAACGAGAAUCAAUUAAGUUCCACGGCAUGAUGAUGGCGGUGAAGUGCCUUCCAGUGGGAACUUGUCAAUAUUCUCCAAUACUGGACGACCCACACCUAAAAAUGCCGUAAGAGGAAGAUAUUUGUCGGAAAUAGAGUUCAAACAAGCACACAACUAUGUUCUAUUUAACUGUGAUGAGCUGAGACCUUUUAUUCAGUAAGUUUAUACUAAUUAAACUUUGUUAGUAAUAUACUGUUAAUUAUAUAUUGUAAUAUCAUACACUCAUUAUCACUUGCAGGCAACAUCGUCAAUAUUUGCUAUCCAAUAACUCACAGCUGACCGAAUCCCAGAUCUUUCAAUUACAAGAUGAGCAGUUUGCCACGUGGUUAAGAACACAUGUAAGCACUAUCACAAACUCAUUCUAACUUGCAAAAUUACUGUACGUAUGCAUGUCAUUACGAGAUUCUCGUUCAUUUACUAUUUAUUGAUGUACAUUACAUACAAGGUUUAUCAAAUGGGAAGGAGUGCACCUAAGUCAUUGUCUUCACUAAGCCUGGGGCCUGAAAGAAAAUGUAAGUGCUACAACGAGUAUUUUGUCAAUGGAUAUGUUUUCCAUACUGAAGAAUACGGGCAAGGAAGAAAGACAUACAACAACGGUGUUUGUGUUAAGGGAUCCACUAGUAGUGAGUUAUAAGUUGACUACUAUGGUAGAUUAGAAGAGGUCGUCGAACUGCAAUAUCAUAACGAGCAGAAUAUAGUGUUUUUAUUCAAAUGCUAUUGGUAUGACACGACUGACAGAGGAAUCAGAGUUGAUCCGCACUAUGGUCUAGUCGAAAUCAACUCAAAAGCUAGACUCCGCAACAUAAACGAUGUCUUUGUUUUCGCAAAGCAAUGUCAACAAGUUUAUUACACAUACACCCCUUCAUUUAGAAAGGAUCGAUCAAGAGUGGAUUGGUUGUCCGUUUUAAAAACGAAACCCCGGGGUCGUGUCGAGGUUGUUCAGGAUGAGAACGAAGACACAAGUGUGCGAGAUGAAGUCUUUCAAGUUAGUAAGGUGAUUGAACCAUAUCGAGUUGCUCCUUCGAUUGAAUUGGAAGAAAAUUCAAAUUUUCGUGUUUUCGAUGAUAGUCUUGUUGAUGUUGACGCAGAGGAGUUAAAUUUUGUUUUGAGCUCUAGCGGAUAACCAAACAUCGAUGAAGAAGAUUAUAUUCAUAUUGCAGAUUGCGAUGAAGGUGAUGACAAUUCAAUUGAUGACGAAGAAGAAGAAAAUUCUUACUAACUAUCAAAAUGAAGCCCUAUGUAAAACCCUUUUUUUCAUGUAAUUUAGAUUAUGAAUGAUAUAUAUAUUUUGAAACACAAAAUAUUUAUUACUUGAAAUAAUUAGUUGAAAUGCCACAAUUAUGAGAUAAUUACUUGAAAUAAUUAUUGAUCAUGGAUGAUAUAUUUUGUGACAUGAAAUAAUUACUUGAAAUGCCACCCGAUCACCGACGGCAUUAAGUCCGUCGGCAUUUCACAGAGAGUUCGAAAAUAAUUACUUGAAAUGCCACCCGAUCACCGACGGCCUUAAGUCCGUCGGCAUUUCACAGAGAGUUCGAAAAUAAUUACUUGAAAUGCCACCCUAUCACCGACGGCUACACCGACGGCCUUAAGUCCGUCGGCAUUUCACAGAAAGUUCGAAAAUAAUUACUUGAAAUGCCACCCUAUCACCGACGGCCACACCAACGCAUUUAAAUCCGUCGGUAAGUUGUCGGCGGGUCAAUUUUACCGACGAAAUUACCGACGGACCGCGCGAAUUUCAAAGGGUUGUGCAUUAAAUGCGCCUCUGACUGCGUCAUAUUGCCGACGGAAUUACCGACGGACCACGAAAAAUAUGGAGGGUCAUUAAAAAUUUUGGUGCGAAAUUCAAAAUUUACCGACGGAUUUUUAACAAAUCACCGACGGAAUAAAUUAAAAUAAUAAUUAAUUUUAUAUCCGUCGGUGAAGCCGUCGCUAAAACUGCCAUAUAAGUUCAAGUGACCGCCCGUUCAGUUCAUUUUUUCUUCUCCUUCGUUUCUCACCUUAAGAAUUUGAUUUUUUUUCCUCUCCAUUCUUCAAAGCUUUCACCUCCAAUCUCUAGCAAGUUUUCUUCAUCAUCUUCAUCAGUUUAAAAGGUUAGUGUUUCCUCUAUUUCAUUUUACUUUAAUAGUUCUUUUUUGCUAUUUUUUUGGUUAUUUUUUUUGUUUUGGUGUAUUUUUUGUAAUGUAGAUAAAGUCUAUAGUUUUUUUUGCAUAAUUCAUUGCUAAAGUUUAUAGUUUUUUUUUUUGAAUUUAUUGAAUAUUUUUUAUUGUUGUAUUGGCAUAAUUACUAUUAGUUAAUUUGUUGAAUAUUUAUUGUUAAUGUUGAAUUUACCAUAGAAUUAGUAAUUGAAUAUGUUGGAAUAAUUAUUAAUUUUACUUUAUUAUUGCAUGAUUUGUGUUUAAUUUUUUCCAUUUAUUUUGAUUGUUAUUCUAGAGUUUUUUUUUUAAUUUAUUGUUUUGUUGUAUUGGCAUAAUUAUUGAAUAAUUACUUGAAUUGUAAUUGUUAAUGUUGAAUUUACCGUAGAAUUAAUAAUUGAAUAUGUUGGAAUAAUUAUUAGUUUUACUCUAUUAUUGCAUGCUUUGUGUUUAAUUUUUUCCAUUUAUUUUGAUUGUUAUUCUACAGUUUUUUUUUUAUUUAUUGUUUUGUUGUAUUGACAUAAUUAUUGAAUAAUUACUUGAAUUGUAAUUCUUGAUGUUGAAUUUACCUUAGGAUUAGUAAUUGAAUAUGUUGGAAUAAUUAGUAUAGAUUGGGUAAAUUGGUUGUGGCUAUUGUUAAUAUGUGCAGGUUUGUGGAUUUGGGUAGUAUCCGGUAUAGGGGAGGUGCUGUCGAAUUUUUUUUUUACAUUUGAAUUUAAUUAUAUAAUUAUUUGUAUCAAAUUGUAUAGAUGCGUAGAACGAAAACCAGAGCUGGUCGCUCAAGUGCGGUCGCAGCUAGUUCGUCUAGCAGCGAGGAUGAUAUUUCCUUAGGUGCCUCUCAAGAAGAGGCACCUACACCACCUGCGUCGUCAACCGAUGUUGCCUCUUCCAGCGGUACUUCACAACGCAGAGGCGGCGUGCCUUCGCAGCGGAAUCAAUUUACCUGCAAGUACGAGGCACAGUGGAAGGACGACCUUUCAAUGUAAGUUAGUUAAGGUUUUAGUUUUUUUUUUAAAAAAUUACAACAUAAUUUAUGAAGUAAUCACUAUUGAAUUUAUUUCAUUUAUUUUGAGGUUCACAAACAUUGAAGCCGCCUGAGUAAUAUCAUCGGCGUUUAAAUCGUCGAUGGAGAUUCCAUUGUUUCAAUGGAGUCAGAUAUCCAAGCAUCCUGAAUGGAUGCCUCAAAUCAAUGCAUGGUUUAACAGGUUUGAGGUUGGUAUUAAUUUAUAAUUUUCAGCUUAUUAAUAUAAUUGUAUUAUUUUUAUUUAAACUUGUUUAUUUAUACACAACACAAAUUCUGCUAGGACAUUGAGCAUAACACUGUUGUGAGGAGGGUGUGGGAAAAUCACGCGGCAACUAGGUAAGAUCGAAAACAAUACAUGUUUUUUUUUAGACAAAAAUUUAUGUUUCGAAAUGUAAUUUUUGGUUGCGUGAUUUUUGGUAUGAAGCACAGAAAAAGGCAAAAAAAACCACGAGGGAUAGGGAUUUCCAAGGCUGGAUCGAUGUUGCGGUUUGGAGUGAUUUCAAACCAAUAUACAUCCCGGAAGAUAUAUGGCCGCACUAUCUUGAGCACGUGACAUCUGAGCGGUUCACACGACGCUCACAGUCCGGUUCUGGCAACCGGAAUCGGCCAAUUCAUGGCGGGGUGACAACGCACACUGGCGGCUCCGUUCCGUUUGCUGCACAUGCGAAACGGAUGGUAAGAUUAAUUUAAAUGAAAUAUAUCGUUAAAUUCAGUUGUUGUUAAUAUAUCUUUUUUCAUUAUAGGCUGCGUCUCUUGGACGUGAGCCGAGCCCGAUGCAGCUGUUUGUGGAGACGCACGUGCGGAGUCAAGACCGCCAGAAGGGGGCGCAAUAGUUCGUUGAUAACCGUGCUCAGCAUUUCGUGGUAUGUUUGUUCAACCAUUUUAUUUUGUAAGUUAUUAUGUAAGUUAUUAUGUUUAUUGUAUUGAAUAUGAUGAUUACUUUUUAUUUUUAUUUUCAGGAGACCUAUAAUAAUCGGUUGAGGGAGAGAUACGGGGACGAUACUUUGACCCAUCCGGAAUUCGAUCCGGAUUUGUGGAUGGAGGUUGGCUCGUCAGGUGGACCCGAUAAAAAUCGGGUUUACAGGCUCUCCAACACUACGGGCGACAACUUGCGGUCGACCCGUAGUGUUUCAACUGUUGGGAGCUCCCAAUCAAUAUCGAGCUCCCAAUCUAAGGAGUUCGUGGCUUUGCAGCAACUCACCGAGAAAUACGAUAACCUAAAAGCAGAGUACGCACAACUCAAAGCGGAACAAAGAGCAGAGUCUGAGCAACUCAAAGCGUCUCAAGCACAACAAAAAGCGGAGUAUGAAGCGGCUCAUGAACAACAAAAAGUGGCUGAUGAACAGCUCCACGAAAUGAUUAUGAAAUUGUCAAAUAGCGGAACAUGUGCGCCUAAUCUUUUUUGGCCGUAUAACCACCAGCCUCCGCCAGGAUCUCCUCCUCCUCCUCCAGCUCCAUCAUCUUUAUAUUAAUUUGUAAUCAACAUUAUUUACCUUUAAAACUUCAUUUAAUAUUUUUCUUGAAACAUAUUCAGUUUGUAAUUAAUAUUAUUUAACUUUGUUUUUUUUUUAUGUUUAAUAUAAAUUUUAUUUGCAUAAUUGGUUUGUAUUACAAUUAAUUUAUAUAGUUUUAUAUUAUAUAUCCUAAAUAAUUUUUUAAAAACAAAUUAAGAAAAAAACUAUUACCAAGGAUUUUACCGACGGAUGAAUUCGGUCGGUAUUUUAAACACUCACCGACAGACUUACCGACGGAAUUAAUCCGUCGGCAUGUAAUAGUAGCUUCCACAAUUACCGACGAAUUUACAGACGGACAUAUGCUGUCGGUAUUUCAUACACUCACCGACAGAUUUACCGACGGUUAUUGUUCGUCAGUCAAUCACAAUAUACCGACGGAAUAAAAAUCCGUCGGUAUAUUUCAAGCGGGAAUCUUUUUUUUUUGGCGCGCAAAUUCCGUCUGUAAAACCAUCGGCAAAUGGUUUUUUUGUUUUUCCGACCGAUAUAGCGAUGGAAUGGGGAAUCACCGACGAAGGUAAAGCCGACGGACGUAAUCCGUCGGUGAUGACGUCGGUAAAAAAAUCACCGACGAACUUCUAAUCACACACCGACAGAAUUUUUCCGUCGGUAAAACUGUGAAAUCUUGUAGUGUUUUAAUUUUCUAACAUAAGUAUAUGAGAUUCAAAGUUAUAUCAAUGUUUUAUUGUUUUUAGAUUUUUUAUGGAGUUGUUUUGAAUUAUAUAUAUUAUAAAAUACAUAAAUAAAUUAUGUGUUAGGUCCUGACAUGUGCAGGACCCAAUUGGGUGUUGGAUCCUGCACUUUGAGUCCUACAAGAUGCAGGACCCAACCUAAUUAGGUGUAGCGCAGGACCCACAAUAACUUUAGGUCUUGCAAGGUGGAGGACCCCAAUUAGCUUCGGGUCCUGCAUAGUGCAGGACCCCAUUUCAUGUUGGGUCCUGCCGGGUGCAGGACCCAUGUGGAUGUUGGGUCUUGACGGUGUAGGACCCAAUUGCGUGUUGGGUCCUGCCACCAGGACUCAACAGUUGUUGACCCACCACCCAAUUGAACCCUUCUGCCACCAGGACCGAACAUCUUUGGACCCUUUUAUAACCAGGACAAAACAUCAUCUCUUUUAUUUUGUUUAGGAGCUCUUUUAAAUUUUUAUUAUUAUUUAACCCGCAGCGGAGCGCGGGUCACAUAGCUAGUUUAUUUCUAUAAGCCAAUGUUUGGCAAAACCAUCUUUUCUUUCCCUAGAAAUUACCAAAAUGGACUUAAGUGUGUGUUUGCCAAACAUUUCCUUGGGCAAAAAAAAAAAUCCUUCACAAAAGGUUGUUCAAACGAACAAAGCCUUACGUACUUAAUCUAAAACAAAACCAAACGAGUCGACCCAAAGACACUAGUUUAACCAUGAACUGAACCAAAAAACAAGGUUUGACCUGAAAAAAAACUCAAACUAAUGUUUAAACUGAAACAAAGUCAAAGUUGAAAAUUAACACAAAACAUAAAAAAAAUUGCAGAAAAAUAGAUCAAACACUCAAAUCGUGAAGAACACAAAGAGCAUUCAUCAACAAACAAACAAACACAAAUCUCAAUCCAGUCAAGUUUUCAUGCAAUCAAGGGCAAUGUUUUAUUUGAAAUCAUGCAAGGAUCCAUAAUCUAGCAUCCAUUACUUCAAUUAUCAAAGAAUUAAUGUGAUUUUGUGAAAAUGAGUUUCGGUUGAAAACCAAAAUUUUAAGAUUAAAAACCCAGAAACUUGUUAUUAAUACAAAUAAACCCUAUAUUAUCUACUAGUCAAGUCGCCUGAAUGGUUUAGUGUAAACAAUGGGACCAAAGUUGAUCUAAAUCAUAGUGCUAAGGCAAUUUUCUUUCCAAGAACAUGAAGAAACCAAACCCAGCAACCUAAAAGUUCCCAGCCUACUAUUAAACCCAAAACUAGCCUCUUAGGCUUCUAAAACAUGUUUCUUUUGGUCCUUACAAACCAUAUUAUCAAUAUUAAGCAUCGUUGAAUUCAAAGAACUAACAAAUAAAAUAAAGCCAUCAAUAACAUGCAUGAAGUUCCAAAGUUCAAAACUACUAAAGAUAAUCAACAAGCAUAUUCAUGCUAUUUGGAUUCAAAACUUGAUAUUUUUAACAUCUAUAUGCCAAAACAUACUUGUAUGAACCAUGAACUUGCACUAAAAUCAUCAAAUUAAUCAACAUGCUUCCAAAUUAUUUAACCCACAAACAAAAACAACUUAUUGUUUUAUUACAAAACAGAUUCAAACACAAAUCAAAAUAUCUCAAAUACAUCAUCAUCAUGCUAUUAGGCUAAAAUCACAUAAUCAAACAAGUGUGACAACCAAGAAUCAUGUCUUUAAUGCAAGCCUCAAUAACAAAUUAUUAACCAAAACUAAAACAAAUUAUCAUAAUGAAAUCUAAUAAAACAAACUCUGCCGAAAAAACAUCAAAUUAUUCCAGCACCAAAAUCAAACCAAAAAAUGCAAGAUAAGCUCAAACAACAUAAAAAGAGGUUUAAACAAUAAGAAAGCAUGAAAAGAAAGGCCACAUGGACUCCACACUUGAAUUUCUACAUGUUAUAACUUCUCUAAGCUUGCUAGCUAUGAACUAUUUUCCUUCUCUUUUAUUUACUUCUUUCCCUUUCACUAUACUUUUUCCAAAGCUUGUUAGACCCUCUAUGUUAGGCUCUUGAACCUUCACACUAGGAUCUUUUCACAGUCAUGUUUUUCCUCUCUCUAUUUUUAUUUUUAUUUUUCAGGGGGUAUUUAUAAGGUUUUACUAGGAUCUUUGAUGGAUUCAAAUAUAGAUCGAUCAAAGCUUAGCUUUUUGAUCAAAAUGAGAGAGUUCUGGACAAAUGUUAACAAUCAGAACCUUUGUCUUUCAAUGGUUUUGGGACAGUGGUUUUGUAACAAAAUUACCUAGGAGGUUUUUUUUUCCUUGAGACAAAGGCAUGCAUCCCUCACCUUCUGAUUAUGGAUGAAAGAUUUAUGACCCUUAAUAAGAACCCUCUAAAAAAUUUUAAGUGUGAACACACGAAAAAGUUGAGAGGCUUUGUACAAUAGGUAUCUUAGUCAAGACUGACUGAGUUGACCAAUUUUGAGGCCACGCCAGAGUAACUCCAACGUAAAUGUCAUUGGAGACCACCUAAACUUUAUAGAGGAGAAUCACACCUUUCGAUUUGGUCCAUUCUUGUACAGUUUGGAUGUUUGUAUUUCCAUAUUCAUUUGUUGAAGGCGACAACUCGAUUAUCCGAGAAUCUGAAAAUGUAGUAAUGACUAAUUGGGAACAAGAUGUUGUUGAGUUCAAUAAAGAAAAUGGGAUAUAAAUGCUUGAUGGUCGUAGUUGAUCUUUGUAGAGGGGGUGUUUCUCAAUUAAAUGGUGGUGGUUACAGCCCUAGAAGUGGUCGGAAACGCUACAUUCAUUCGUUUGAAGGUGCCUACUUGAUCAACCAAAAUUGCCAACAAAACACUAAACAAUGGCCGAACGAUGUGUCGUCUAGGUUAAACCCUAGAAAUUAGGGUUUUUAAUUUGGGAUUUGAAAUUUUUCACUUUAGUCCCAAUUCUUCAAAUUUGUUUUAAUUGCACCUAUAAUUGUCUCUCAAACUCUUAAUUUCAUGUAAUUUCACCCUUGUCCAGCUCAAUCAUUAGCCUCAAAGUUCAGCGUCAUUUUAAUCUUGGUCCUUAGUUUCUAAUUUGUGCACUUGGACCCAUAAUUGACUAUUAAACUUUCAAUUUUCUUCAAUUUGGCCCCUAAUUUGGUCAAAUUUAGUCUCUACAGUCAUGCGCCUUUUUUUCAGUUUGGUCCUUGGCUUUAGAUUUCUUCAAUCAAGUCCCUAAUUGCCUACUAGACUUUAAUAUUCUUACAAUUAAGCCCUUGAUUCAUCCAAUUAAACCUCCUAAAAAACCAAUUAAGUCCUUGGACUUUAAUUUAUUUCAAUUAACACCCAAAUUGACUCUAAAAACUGAUUUUUCCCAGUAAUCAAGUCCUCAAUAAAAUUAAUUAAGCCUUCCAAAAUUCUCAUUAAGUCCUUACCUAUCCAAAUUUGUAUUUCUUUACCCUAAUAGAAAUAUUUUCACCAAUGGGAACCUUUGUCAAUUAGAAUUGGGUUGUUAAUUAUAGCAAUUUUGUACAUUUUGGUCCUCCAACUUUUCCACUUGUAAUUUGGUCCUUCACCAUCAACUUGAGUAAUCUUUUAGGUUUUUUUUUCAUGUAUAUCCUCUUGUAUUUUGAAUUUUCUCUUUCUAUUUUUUCUUUUUUCUUUUCUUGAUUUUUCGUGGAGUCAAAAGUAGGUAAUAACAAAUUGAUUGCAAAUAAGUUUUAAAAAUUGAAAACUAUAAUAUAAUUAGCACAUGAGAUUAAAAUUCUAGAUUUAGAAAAAUCAAGUAAGGACUUGAUUUACGAGAACGCAACCUAAGUGUUGAUCAAAUUCUAGGAGGAAGAACUAUCUUCAUACAAUUUUCACACAAAUCGAUCCUAAAUAAGUUUAUGUUGUUUAAUGAGAUCCAUGAGACUUGAAAAAACUAUUUUCACUAUGUCAUGUAUUUCAAGAAACCCAACAACGUAAUCAUAGAGAAAUAAGAGGUGCAGCAAAUCACUUUAAGGCACUCAUACUUUCUCAUCUUUUGGAGUAGCUGACUCUAAAACACUUGGCAUACACACACACACAAACAGUGGGAAAAGAAGAAGAAAACAAUUAAGUUAAAAAGGACUUAAUUAUGCUUUAUAAUUAACUUAACCAAGCAAAGCAAGGCCCAGUACAUUAUCACUAAAGAGCUCAAUAGAGUAAUUUUUUCUUUCGAUAAUCCAUAAUCACCACCCCACCAUAAUGUUUAGCUGCCUCCUUGUUGUUGAUAACAUCCAUUUUCAUCAUGGGAACUUGGAUUCCACCAUAAUCAUAUCGUUGCUGAUGGUGCUCUUGAGGAGUUGAAGACCUCCUAGGGCACCCGUACCACUCGUCUAUUAGUGCAAACCCUUCCAACCCAAUCUUGUAAAGGCGAUCUGCUUGGCGAGCCAUUUGCAAAAUGACACUAAAAAAUAAGAAGAAGAAACAGUUUAAGUAGGUUCUGAGUUUGAUCAGCUUGACUUGUACAUAUGGUUUGAAGCCAAGCUAGUCCGUAUAUAUAGAAAUCAUAGAAACCCUCUCUAUCUAAGCUUAUAGGUUCACUGUGGUCAAAAUCAAAAUCUUCAAAGAAAGAUAUAAUUUUCACAACUUUUGAUCAUUGAUUCUGUUGCUUUUUCUUUUUUAUUAUUCUCAAUAUGUUGUUAAUUCCAUCACAUCUCAGAGAAACUAUCCAAAGGCUUUACCAAGUAUCACGACUUUUCCAAAAUUCAAUCAAGAAAUAUCAAAUCAUUCUGGAUAUGCAUGCAUGAUUCACCAUAAUAAUUAUAGCAUUCUUUGAAAAUAUAGGGAAGAAGGCUUUGUUCCUUGCAAGAAGGGUGGAUUUAUGGUUAAGUUCUUUGAAAAUAAUUACAGCAUUCACAUUUUAUGCAGUUUCUUUCUCUAAUGAGAAAAAUCUAUACUUUUCCCUUCAUCCCAAACAUUUGUUACAGAGUUAGCUAUGAGUCGAUUGACGAAUUAAACAUAUUCUUUCCUUGUGCAUGAAGUGUGAAGACUGAGAAUGACCUUUUUGACUAAACCCACAAGAUACUCCAAAUUGGAUCCUCAAGGACCGCUUUCCAAAUCGAGCAGGACCAGGGAAAAAAAAGUUCUUAUUAAUACCAAUUUUUCAUGGUAUGAAAAAUCUGCCCCAAUGUUGUGUUGGUAUCUUUAAGGUUCUAAAUGCUUGAAAUAUUCUUGUCAAUUAAUGCGGUAGGCAAAGGUCUGGAUUUAAGGUCCUGGCGGUGGCAAGGCAGGUAAGAUAUUGUCUGAUGCUUUUUUACUUGAAUAUUAUAGCCGGUUCAUGCGAAAGAAUAUUUCAUUUCAAAAUUAGAUUAAGUAUAUGACAUAGAAUUCGGAUUAAUCAAGAGUUCAUGAAUAAAGUGAUAAGAAAUAUAUAUAAUUGAGAGAUAAGAAAGGAAUAUUUAUUGGUAACUCCUUCUCUCUUGAACGGCUUUCAUGCUUAGACAAAUCCACUUGUAUACAUCACCACUUUUCUAUAUUGAAGUUUUUUAAUUACUACUAUUGUUUCAGACAAAUUGCUAUAAUGUUGUGAAAUUUUAAGGGAAAUGCUUAUUAUUGUGUAUUUUUUCUGGACCGUUGGACACUUUUAAUUUGGUUUGAUGUGUAUUAUUGAUUUUGAGGUGAUUUGAGUAUUUGUGGUGAAUUAUGAGUUUAUUAUUAGAUUGUGAUUGUUUUUUGGAUAUUAAAUAUUGAUGUAUGAAUUAUGCUUGGGUUUGUGUUAAUUCCUUCGAAUUAAUACGCAGUUUAAACAAAGUUUGUGAAAUUAAUAAGAUUCGUGUGGAUUUUUGGUGUUGCUCGUUUCAAGUUGAUGAACGAUAUUUUGUUUUGAAUUAAUAUCGUGGUUAAAAUAGCCUUGAUAAAAAUAAUUUAUAUGUGUUUUACUAAAUACGGUCUUCGUCCAUUUUCAAAAUCUUUGGAAGAUCAUCAUGCAAUUAAUUUUGAGUUCCCAAUAUUUUCCAACCAUCACGUAUUUAGUAUUUGAAAUCGUGACUUACACACGAGAUGCUUCUUCGAUGUUAAAGGAAUCGUUUUACCUUUUACAAAAACAACAAAAAAAAAUCUCUUCUUUCAAAAAUACAAUUUUAUUUUAAAAAACAUACAACCAAGUCUCCCAAAAAUAAAAAAAAAUCAUAUCUUGCUUAAAAAAUAAAAUACAUGGUUUGUCUUAGUACCAAACUAUAACAUCCUCAAAUUAUAAUGUCAUGAAAUCUCAAAUGUUUCUUUACGAAUGUUAAGUAUUGAAUAAUAUGUCUAAGAUUAUGGAUUUUUAUUUUUUUUUUGAAAAGUUCGGCAGAGUUUCCUCUAUUUUUGUUGGUACCAAGUUAUCGACAACAUUUCUAUUAUAUGUCAUUACAACUUCCAUCUUGAUCCAAUCAUCCUGGAUCACAUCUCAUUCAUUAAUCAAUCUCUCAAAACUUAUACUUAUCAAUAUUGUUGCUACCCAAUUUUUGACCCAUGUUUUGAUAAAUUUUCAGAAAAAUCCAAAAAUAGCGAAAAACAUUGAAAAUCCAAAAAAAUACGUUUUUAAUACAUUUGCAUCGUUUUUUAGCAUUUUUAGCAUCGUCUCAAAAGAAUUUAAAUUUUCAAAGAUAUUUGGAACGCGUUCAACUUUUCACGCGUCAUUUUUAAAAUCAUUGAUUUCCCGCAUUGAGUCGAUGUUGAUAUUUGCUCGCUUUCAAAAAUACAAAAAAAAUAAGAAAAAUCAAAAUUUACAAAAAAAGAGGAAAAGAGAAGGAAAGGAAAAGUUGAGGGACUAGUUUGAAAACCUAGCAAAACUUUUCCUAUAAAUACCAAGCUACACUGGUUUUUAAAGGGGGGGCAAUUUUGACAACAUAAAAAAAAAUACAAAAAAAACCUAACCCUGGUUUUUCAACCGACCCAGCAGCUGCUCCCACUCCAGCUUUCCCAGACCGUCUUGUUCUCUUUUUCUUCCAGCGGCGGCGGCAGCAGCCAGCCACCUCGUCGCCUCCUUCAAUCAGCGUCGCCGACCGGACAAACGCUCCCUCUCUCCACCGCAGCUCCAACAACUACAGACGACAACCGUGCCAGAUCUGUCACCGGAGCAAACCAUAACUAAAAAAAGGAAUUAAGAACAGAUCCGAAAACAGUUAAAGAAAAACUAAAAUCGACUGUGUUGUUGCGAUUUUUGUUUGUUAUUGCAGGUGAUUGUGUUCCUCACAACCAGCAAGGAAGGGAAGGGGAGAAGAAGCUGAGCCAGAUCAUCCACUUCUCGUUUUCUUCCUGCGGCGGCGCGUGAGUCCACGCGCCGCCAGUAACGGUGGCGCGUGAGUCCACGCGCCGCCAGUAACGGUGGCGCGUGGGAAGACGCGCCGCCACUGUUCCUGCGGUGCAGAAGGGCUUCCCUGUAAUUUCUGGAUUUUUAGGGACUGUUUUUGUAAUUUUUAGGAUUAUGUUAUUGUAAUAUUAUUGUAAUUUUUGUUUAGUUUGUUUAGAAAUUGUAUUUUGUAUUGUGGAUGUAAAAACAAAAGGAACAAAAGAAAGGAAAAGAAAAGAAAAGAAACAAAAAUAUAGUAAGAGUGAAUGUGUGUGUGUUUGUAUUUUUUUUUUUAUAUAUAUAUAUUUUUUAUGAUAAAAUUGCAAAGAUUAAAGAAGAAUUUAAUAUUUUGAUUGGAUCACGGUUAAGAAUUAUUAACUUAUACGUAAGUUGUAUUUCUAAUAUCCGAUGAAAAAACAAUUAUUAAAACUUCUUUAAACACAUUAAAUUCGCGAAGCAGCUUACCUCAGGUAGGGUGCGUUAGGGGUGCUAAUACCUUCCCUAACCACAACCAGUCCCUUACCCGCGAAUCUCUGAUAAGACCAGUACAUCCGGUUUCCUAGUAGCCUUCAAUAAAUUACUAGGUGGCGACUCCAACGAACCAAUUCAAAUCAAACAUAACAACAGAUAAAAUCGCCAGCCGAUGCCGCGCGGAUUUUUUAUGACGUGCGACAAAAUGGCGACUCCACUGGGGAAGGUACUGUUUCUGACAAUAUUGGACUAAGCUUUGUGUAUUUGAUGUGUUUAAGUUUUUGCAUUUUUGUCUUGUUUUAUCUUUGUUUUAUCCAUGUAUUUUUAGAAUUGUUUCAUGCAUCACCUGUAUUUAUUUUUUAAAGCACACACAAGCUUCUAAGUUAGGUGGUGAAUUAGCGAUCUGCCCUAUGACUAUUGGUCAGGGUUCAGAUGCGUGAAAAACCGAACUCAUAUCUGAGUGCCUGCUUGGUAAUGGUGGGUAGACGUACCUUAACUAUUCCUUGCAACGCCCCCAUACUGUCUUUACGAAGAACGUCACUGGGCAGAUAUGAGACCCUUUUGAGACCAGGUAGAAAACCUACCCAUGAUCACAUAAUGAAUAGAACCUAUCCUUAGGUUGUAUGUGCUAUUUUUAUUUGCAUCAGGGCAAACCCUUCUUGAAGCAUCUUGAACUCAAGACUUGUGGGUGACACAAUGACCGUCACUCAGAAAAUUUUCAUUGUAGAGUUUGGGCAAGAAUCAAGAUUCUUGUUUCAUCAUGCAAGAGUUACGACCAUAUUGUCACCCCUCGAAGGGCGAGUUCUUCAUAUAGUUUGCAUGUUCAUACAUUUAUCAUGCAUGUACCGGGAGGAAAAAUAGGUUCCCCCAUCUGAGCUUUGCUACACCUGAUUGAACAAAGAUGAUGGGAAAUGAAGAAAGGGGUCAAAGAGAAGCUCAUCAUCAAAGGUGAAGUAGCUAGACCCAGAUCUCCCUGAACAAGUGUAGAGCAUCAGAGGGAAAGGGAAUGUCUACACAGUCUUCUGUGGGAACACUGCUUGUCCAUGUCCCAUUGAAGUUACACCUCCUCUUUUCAGUCAUGAAUAAUUGCAGUAAUGCCUUCAGUCAUCAGCUAAUGACAACCUUUGUUCUUGUUCAGUUGCACUGAUAAUUAUUCAUCGCCUCCGUAUCUGCUAAUGGAACCAAAUAACUACUAGCCUUCUGUGCAUGGUGUGUUAGCCUUCUUUGACGUUACCCCAACUGUUAGCUCAAUUCCAGUUCAGCGGCACAAGAUGUAAAAAAAAAAAAAAAAAAAAAACCCCGAAAAAAAAAACCAUGAUUCGACCCUGAACUUCUACGUUGCAGAGCUCUCUCUACAAAAAUCCGUUUAUGGCUCUGCAAGUGGGGAAUGCAAGAGGAGAUGUAGAAGUUUCAAAUGAUAUGAAAAUUUACCCCACCAGUUUCAGCAUCGAAACACUGUAGUAGGCAGUAAAGCCAGACUUGAGCUAGAAAACAGGAGCAAAUAUAGAACUUCACCGUGGCAGAGCUCUCUCUGCAGAAAUCUGUUUGUAGCUCUGCAAGUGGAGAAUCCAAGAAGGGAUGCAGUAGUUUCUGAUCAUCUAUAAUUUUCUCUCAUCAGUGUUAGCUUGAAAAUGCAAAAGUAGGGAAAAGAGACAAACCUCGGCUGAAAAAUAGAAAGAAGAUUGAAACUUCAACAGAGCAGAGCUCCCUCUACAGGUGUCUGUUUGAUGCACCGUCAGUGAUGAAUCAAAUAGGAGACAAAGGAGUUUUAGAUUCAUCAGGUUCUCCCCUAGUUGAGACAACGCGUGAUUUCACACAUCAGUAGUGGCAGUGCUGCAUGUUUCUGUGCGCUGCCAAGAUUACCUAGUUAUUGGAAGGCUCUCCAACAACCCUCAAACAACCAUAACAACAUGAGAAGAUUGACAUGAUGUUGUGAAGAUUGUCAAAAGAAUUGAACAAGCUAUGAAGAGAGGAAAGAUUGAAGGAUUUGUCAUGGAUUCCAGAAUUGUGAAGAGAGUUGAAUCAGAAGAUGACUCUCGAUUGAGAAACCUCAAUUAUUUUGCCUAGUCAAGUCUCGCUCAAAGCACCAACUACUCCAAUGUCUUUGCCAAAGAUAGACAUUCCUUUGCCAUGUGGGUUUAUUUACUAGCAUCUGCCAGAUUCCAGACUUAAUGCCUGACUCCGACAAAACCCAUGCAACCACCGUUUUCUAGGUGGUAUAAUCCAGACAAGAGAUGUGAUGUCAUGGUGGGGUCCUCAGCCAUUUCAAUUGAACAAUUGCAAGAAUCGAGUCCGGAAGUUGGUGAGCAAAAGACGAGAGGAAUCUGUGAAGGAGCUUGUCAUCGAUCAUUUUGUCGUCAGAACAUCCUCAGAAUGACGAGUGAUCGAAAUUGCUUGGCAAAACAGAGAUAUUGCCAAAGAGGCUGAUCUAAGAAGGGGUUAAACUGUCAAUCAUUUUUGUUAUGGAUUUUGCCAUCUUGCAUUUUGUUUUGGGGUCACAUCUCAUCCUUGAACGAAACAUGUCUUUCCUUUGUCUUCCUGUUGUUUUGAAAUCAAGAGAUGCUUCUUUCAAAGGGUAUUUUUACAAAAUAUUUUGAUCAAGCUCCAACAUGCGAUUAAGAUUAAUCAAUCCUGAAGAUUAAAAGUAUUUUGAUUGCAGAAAUAACUCGAUGCUUGAAAAUGACAUGAGGUGACGAAACAAUUUUGAACUCAUACCUCCUGAAACUGAACCACACAUCAUAUAACUAAGUUUUAGCAGUAUGCAUAAUGACAUGUAGUGGAUUCAGUAGUUAUGGACUCGUGAAUCAUGACUCUUACAAGUCCAAAUCAUUACAUUGGAUGAGGUCAAAGUUUAUCGGUUCUAACCGACCUUGCUUGAAAUGAGAAAAGGCCAUCUUUGUUAUCCUUUCACAUUUCUUGAAAUAUUAUCCCUUGUGGUCCCCAUUUGAGCCUGGUAAAAUAUUUUCUUUCAAGAAACCUUGACUAGGAUCACACCCCACACUGGGGGCAAUGAGAGAUAUGUUAUUAGGAAGGAUGAAGACACUGAUAGAAUCAAUGAAAAAAGAAAGGCUUAGAAUAAAAGCCCAAUGAUUGAGAAAGGGAGAACAAGAAAAGCCAUAGAUUGAGGGCCAUCCAAGAAAACUUUGAGGAAGGUUAUGUAAAAGCAAAAAAAGUGGAAAUGAAGGAGAAUGCCUAUCAAUUCUAAGAGGGGCAAAAGAGGUUUCAAUGGAAGAAAGACACAACAAAUGUCAAAAGUCAACACCAAAAAAUCAAGUUUCAUGUCUUUUGGUGUGUCUAGGAUAAAGCCUUUAGUGUCUUCAAAAUUUUUUAGAUUCAUUAUUCAUCAGAGAAAGUUGGAUUUGCAUUAUGACCUAUGUUAAGAGAAUUCUGAUAUUUGAGAUUAACAAGGUUAUAUCACUUUCUCUACUAUGACAACAAGAGAAAGAGAGUUGAUGAAUAGUUGAUGUUGAUCCUAGGUCUUUGAAACCCUCAAACACCUUUUGAGCCUGAAUUUUCCUUUCUUUCAUAAGCCAUGAACCAUAGCCUGCAUUACGUGCUUUUAAAAGCCCUUUUUAAUCAAGUAAGCAAUCUGAACCGAUAAAUGACGAUCUCAAAACUUGAAGAGUUUUCCAUAAGAGUCAUAGCUUCAUGGAUUAAGCUACUGGUUAUUAUGCAUGCUGAUAAAAUUGGUGUAAAAAAAAAAAACAAUCUUUCUUGAUGAAUCCUCAAGUUUUGACUUGAGUCUUUUGUUUUUUGAAAUUCACAGAAGGUCACCUCAUUGUAGACCGUGAAAAGAUAUACCCAAGAUCAAAGAUUAAAACUAACAUAAAGAACCAUGAAAAAAGUCAUUUUAAACUUACAACGGGUCCAUUUCUGUUUUCAAAAUACAAGACAAUCAAAGGAUUACAUUGAAUGAUGUGUGUUGGGUCUUUGACCAAAAAGCAUGAUAUUUAAAAGAUCUUUUCCAAAAUAGAUAUCUCUCUAAUUUCAUUUCAACAAUUAGACUUGAAUUGACAUGAUCUUUGAAAUAUGAGAGUUGAUUCCAAAACAAGAAAGAUUGUUAAACAACAAGAACAUCGACCGAAUUUGCAAAAUCCUUGACAAGAAUGACAUCAACAUUUCUCGACACUCCUUGAAAAGUUGACCACCUAGAGGCAACACAGUGGAUCAAGGGUAGGAAAACAAAUAGUAUUCAGAUCAGCUGGGGGCAAUGAAAGAUGAUUAAAUGAUGAAUCAGUGUACUGAAGACAAUGGUGUUCAAAGAAAGAUAAUCAAUGAACGAGCACAUUCAGAUCAUAUUGGGGGCAAUGUUGUUCAAAGAUAGUCCAUGAUCUAGUGAACCCCGUCAACAAUCGGGAAAGCAAAGAUACACUUGAAGGAAAUCUUUUGAAACAUGGCUAUCGACCGAUGUGGGCGUACAGUUGCAUUCGAACGAAUAUGAAAAGAUGCACACCACCAAGAUUGAUUGCGGAACAAUGUUGUACUUGAAGGAUAAUGUCAUAUUAUCAUCUCCAACAUGGCUAUGACUUUUGAACGAUGUUAUCGCAUAGUUGUAUUUGAAUGAAUAUUGGAAGGAUGCACUCAUGAAGACUGACUGUGGGACCAUCUUGUUUUGAAGCUCGAAGGCGCACUUCAUCGCAUGAAUAUGGGUGAUAACAUGAACAUCAUUGAUGAUGUCAAGACAUUUCUUUCCACUAUCUGAUUUGACAAACUGAGAGAAAUCCAUGAGAAAGAACAUUGAGCAUACAACGAUGAGUCUUUCACUGCAAGCUAUGAGAUGCAUGUCUGGACGACUAGAUGAUUUCCAUGAAGACUGGUGAUAACAUAUACUUGAAGAGUAUUGUUUCAGCUUGAGGCAAGUUCAUGACUGAUUAACAAUCUUGAUGGGUUGGCAUGAUGCACACAACCAAUCAGAGGAUAAUUCUCAGAAGAAUCCAGGAGAGAAAAUCCUUCAUGAUGAAUCAAGCAACACCACACUUGGGGGCAGAGUCAAGCUUGAUAAACAACAAGAGCAGUAAUCAUCGUAGACAGCCCGAGAUGGGCACUACACUUACAUUUGAGUGGAAGGCUAGCAUACGAAUGAGCCAGUACAUGGGAAGGACAAAUAAAGCUUUGGAAUGCAAACAAAGGCACCCUGUGAUGAUGGAACAUCGAAGAGGGGGGACCUAUAUUUCGAAUCAGGUAAGGAUGCAUGCAUGUCAGCUAACGUUAAAACAUUGUACAUAUUUUUUAUUUUGUUGCAGGAAAAAUCCUCAAUGUAGUUUAGCAAGAUUGGGGACCAAAAAAAAGAGAGAGAGAAAACAAAAAAGGAGAAUCAUUGAGCUGAUAAUGACAGAGAAUCAUGUUGUGACCUUGGAACGGGAAGAAGAUGAGAUAAGCCUUUUUGUUAGGAAAAUCUCAAAGAAAUGAAAAGAUCAACCUUGCAAUCAGGAAGCAUCGAGUUUUCAAACCCUGCGAUCUAGAAUUAUCAAGAAGCACCAAGUUUUCCGGCCCUUCUUCUAUCAUCCCUUCAGGACUCCGCCAGGUAAGUCCCAUUUUUCACACUUGUCACAUCACAUCUUUUAUUUGGGUAGGUCACCCAUAACAAUGAGACCAAUUCAUAUUUUUUAUAUCCUCCGCCUGGGUAGGUCACCCAUAACAAUGAGACCACUUCACAUUUUUUCUAUCCUCCACCUGGGUAGGUCACCCAUUACAAUGAGACCACUUCAUAUUUUUUCUAUCGUCCACUUGGGUAGGUCACCCAUAACAAUGAGACCACUUCACAUUUUUUCUAUCCUCCACCUGGGUAGGUCACCCAUAACAAUGAGACCACUUCACAUUUUUUCUAUCCUCCACCUGGGUAGGUCACCCAUAACAAUGAGACCACUUCAUAUUUUUUCUAUCCUCCACCUGGGUAGGUCACCCAUUACAAUGAGACCACUUCAUAUUUUUUCUAUCUUCCACCUGGGUAGGUCACCCAUUAUAAUGAGACCGCACUUCACAUUCUUUCCAUUUGGGUAGGUCACCCAUCAUAAUGAGACCGUUUUCCACAUUAUUUUUCUUGGGUAGGUCACCCAUACAAUGAGACCAUCAUUUUUCUUGGGUUCGUCACCCAUACAAUGAGACCAUCAUUUUUCUUGGGUUCGUCACCCAUACAAUGAGACCAUCAUUUUUCUUGGGUUCGUCACCCAUACAAUGAGACCAUCAUUUUUCUUGGGUUAGUCACCCAUACAAUGAGACCAUCAUUUUUCUUGGGUUCGUCACCCAUACAAUGAGACCAUCAUUUUUCUUGGGUUCGUCACCCAUACAAUGAGACCAUUUGUUCCACAUUCUUUGUUUUGGUUUAAUGAGGUCGCCAGAUGGGAUCUCAUGUAGCUUUGGUUAAAGGGAAUCGCCAGAUGGGAUUUCAGGUUGACCGAGUUACGUAACAUCUUUUAGUUUUGGUUUAAUGAGGUCGCCAGAUGGAUCUCAUGUAGCUUUGGUUAAAGGGAAUCGCCAGAUGGGAUUUCAGGUUGACCGAGCUACCACACAUUUUUUAGUUCCAGUUGAAUGAGGUUGCCAGAUGGAAUCUCAUGUAGCUUUGGUUAAAGGGAACCGCCAGAUGGGAUUUCAGGUUGACCGAGCUACACACAUUUUUUAAGUUCCAGUUGAAUGAGGUCGCCAGAUGGGAUCUCAUGUAGCUUUGGUUAAAGGGAAUCGCCAGAUGGGAUUUCAGGUUGACCGAGCUACCAUAUUUUUUAGUUCCAGUUGAAUGAGGUCGCCAGAUGGGAUCUCAUGUAGCUUUGGUUAAAGGGAAUCGCCAGAUGGGAUUUCAGGUUGACCGAGCUACACAUAUUGUUUUUAGUUUUGGUUUAAUGAGGUCGCCAGAUGGGAUCUCAUGUUGGUUCUGGUUAAAGGGGAUCGCCGGACGGGAUCUCAGGUUAGCCCAACCACACAGGAUUUGGUUCUGGUUAAAGGGGAUCGUCGGACGCGAUCUCAGGUUAGCCCAACCACGCAGAUUUUGGUUUUGGUUCAAGGAGAUCGCCCGAUGGGAUCUCACAGAAAAAAAAAAGGAAAAAAAAAAGAAAGAAACAUUUAGAGUUUUUCUUUACAAAGCUUACUAUGCGAAACAUUGAGGAGUUUUGCUUCGUAAGCAUUGUAAAUAGGGGCAUCUGUUGCUACCCAAUUUUUGACCCAUGUUUUGAUAAAUUUUCAGAAAAAUCCAAAAAUAGCGAAAAACAUUGAAAAUCCAAAAAAAUACGUUUUUAAUACAUUUGCAUCGUUUUUUAGCAUUUUUAGCAUCGUCUCAAAAGAAUUUAAAUUUUCAAAGAUAUUUGGAACACUUUCAACUUUUCACGCGUCAUUUUUAAAAUCAUUGAUUUCCCGCAUUGCGUCGAUGUUGAUAUUUGCUCGCUUUCAAAAAUACAAAAAAAAUAAGAAAAAUCAAAAUUUACAAAAAAAGAGGAAAAGAGAAGGAAAGGAAAAGUUGAGGGACUAGUUUGAAAACCUAGCAAAACUUUUCCUAUAAAUACCAAGCUACACUGGUUUUUAAAGGGGGGGCAAUUUUGACAACAUAAAAAAAAUACAAAAAAAACCUAACCCUAAAAAACUUAAUCUUCUUCUUCCUGCAGCCGCCCCCCGGUUGAAAAUUUUCUCCCCUCUCUCAGCCGCACAUAACCCCCCGGUGGUCUCCAUUUUUCCCUCAAACCGGCGCCAUCCUUUCUUCCUUCUACCACACCGCCGGUCCCUCUCUGUCUCCCUUCCUCACACACUGCCAAGCUGGCCAUUACAACUCAAACAACCCACAUCAACCUCCCACAGAGCAGCCGUCCCAACUCAGCUUCUUUUCCCUCUCAGUUGCAGGAGCAAGAGACGAACGGAGUGGAGACCCAGCUCCCUCCUCACUUCGCCUCAGCAGCAGCGUCUCCUCAUCACAGCGCCGCCGUCUCUAGCUCCUUCUCCACGCACGGCUACUGUUGUAACCCAUUUUUGGGUCCCCACAAAAUAUAUAUAAAAAUACAUAGCCAAAGGAGGUUAGAAAAAUAACAGGAGGCAGAAGCACUCAGAAAGUGGUUGGAAAAUUGGGCAAUGAGGGUAAAAAUACAAAGAUUGGAUUUUUGACAGUAUAGUCUUGAAGGAGGAGAGCCCUGUUGAGAAGGAAAAUUUGAAAUUUGAGGAGAAAAGCCCAAAUUUAGAUGUUUAUGGGCUUAAUUUGAUUUUUAAAUGAAUUUAUAGGGGAUUUGAUUGCAAGAAAAAUUGAUUUUUAAGUCAAUUUGGGUUUUAAUUAGAAGAAAUUUAAGUUCUGGGGCCAAAAUAUAAUUUUUAGGAAUUUAUUAGGUCAAAUCAGGGGCCUAAUUGCAUAAAUAUUGAAGUUUAAGGGCCAAUUGGGGACUUAAUUAAGAAAAUUCGAAACCAGGGACCAAAUUGGAAGAGACGCGUAAAUGGAGGGGCUGUAAUUAAUUGAUUCAGGGGCCUAAUUGAAGAAAUUAGAAGUUUUUUUGAUCAAUUAAGGGCUCAAUUGCAUAAAUCAGAGGCCAAGGACUAAAGUGAAAAACGCGGCCAACAAGAGGGGCGGAGACCGAAAUUGGCAGGGAUGCAAUUGAAGAACAAAAAAGAUGAUUGAGGGCUGAUUUGAAAUUUGGCGCGUUUUGGCGCCACAUUUAAAUGAAACGGAGCUUUUUCUCCAAAACGACGCCGUUUCAUACAUUCAAGAAAAAAAAAAAAAAAAGAGAAAGAGCAGAACGGUGUCGUUUUGAACGACACUGUUCAUCUUCUUCCCCCCGAUCACGCAGCGGGGAGGAAGGAAAAGUGAAGCUUUUUUUUGAAUUUUUGCCGGCCACUCUCUCGCCUGGAGCCCACCGACCGGACACAAUGGCCGACCACCCACCGCGCACCACCCACCGAACCUUGGCAGUCGCACCAAUGGCCGACCAGCCGUUUGCUCCCCAUGAGAGCAGUACAAAGCCACGCCUUUGGCUCUAUAAAUAGGACCCCAAGAGCGCUGGUGGACGGAGAGGAAGGAGAGGACAGAGGGGGAAGAGAAAAAAAGAGAAAAACAGAGGAGAGACGGGGAGAAAAAACGAAAAAAACAGAGGAGAGAGAGAGGAAGAGGUAGAACGAAGGAGAGAGAAGGAAAAGAGGGGAACGAAAAAACAGAGAAGAGGAACGGGAAGAGAGGAAGAAUCAACCCGAAAACAAAAGAAAAAAAAAGCAAACCGAAAAAAACAAAGAGAAAAGGAGCAACGGAGAGAACGAACCAAACCGUCGGAAACAGUCGCAGCGCCACCAGCCUCCGCCACAGCGCCGCCAGAAACGCAGCAAGCCACCGCCUCCUCCGCGCCAGGUAACCCCUUCUUCCCCCCCUGUUCUGGCGUUUACGUUUUUUUUUCCUUCUCUGCAUGCAGAACGAAUAGCGUUCUGCAUGCAGAGGUGGGGGGGAAAUUAAUUCCCCCCCCGCCCGUUUUGAUCUGGGCCGGCCGGAUCCGGCCCAGUCCUGCCUUAUGGGCCGGAUCUGGCCCAGCCCUGUCUUCUGGGCCGGGUCUGGCCCAGAAGAGAAUAUUUAUUUUUUUGGGCCGAGAUCGGCCCAAUCCAUUUUGGGCCGAAAUCGGCCCAACAAUUUUGGGCUGAGUCCGGCCCAGUCGGUUGGGCCGGACCAGCCCAGCCCAUUUAGUAUUAUAUAUAUAUAUAUAUAUAUAUAUAUAUAUAUUAUAUUUUGUAUUAUUUAUAUAUAUAUAUAUAUAUAUAUAUAUGAAAAAAAAUUAUAAAAAUUUUACAAAAAUUAUAAAAAAAAUAUAUGUGAUUUUGCUGUAAUUUUAUUACUGUAUUUUGAUUAAUAUCGGUUGGUAUUUUUAUACUGUAAAGAUACAAAUCCGGUAUUAACAUACCCGGUUUUCAUCAAAACAUCAAAGAUUUCAAAAAUAAAAAAUAUCUUUUGCUUUCAAAAAUUUCUAAAAUAUCUUUAAAAAUAUUGUUGAUUUUUCUGCAUUUGCUUUAUCAAAGUGGAUUAAUAUUUGGUUGUAUUUUUAUACAGUAAGGAUACAAACCCAGUAUUAAAAUACCCGACUUGCGUCAAAACGUAUAAAAUACAUAUUUAAAAAAUGUUUUGUUUUAAAAUACGGCCUAGUCUCUCCAAUAUAUAUAUAUAAAUAUUAUAACAUCAUCUUUUUCAUAUAACAAAGAAAAUUUCAAAACAAUAUAUGUAUUAACAUGCAUUUUGGCUUCAAUAACCAGUUUAUUCAAGCCAUGAGAACUAGGCCAAUAUUUUAAAAAUUCUAAAAAUAUUUUUGUCCUCUUUUAGUAUUUGGGAUUACGAAUUUAUACGUAAAACGUAUUCUUGAUAUUAAAAAUAUGUUUUUUUAGACAUUAGAACGGUUAAGCUUUACCCGAUAAGAUAAGGACCUCCUUAUUGAGGAGGACUUUUCUUGAACCAUAGACGGACUAACAAUUAGGAAACACAACGAAACCCUGAAUUUUAUCAGACAAAUAAACCAUGCAGCUUACCUUAGGUAGGGCGUAUUUGGGGUGCUAAUACCUUCCCUUUACGCAACCAGUCCCCGUACCCAAUCUCUGAGACCAGUUAGGGUUCCUAGUGACCAAAAUACUAGGUGGCGACUCCCAUUCCAUUAUCCACCAAUAAAAGACUAGAUUUUCUUAUCCCUCGUAUUGGCCACAUAAAUAAAGAUAUAUACCAUAUACACUUCCUAUCCUUUUUUUAAAAAAAGUGGAAUACUCGCCGCGACGCCGCGCACCCGCGACAGCUACACCCAACCGAGACCCAGCUCCUCCAUAUCAACGGAUCCUCUUCUCCUUCGGUCUCCUCGUCGCCUCCUUCUUCGGCUGAGCAGUGCCGGCUCCAGCCUCCCCCUUAGCAGUGGCCGCGGCAGCAGCAACCCACCGCCGGGUCUCCCUCAACCGACCCAGCAGCUGCUCCCACUCCAGCUUUCCCAGACCGUCUUGUUCUCUUUUUCUUCCAGCGGCGGCGGCAGCAGCCAGCCACCUCGUCGCCUCCUUCAAUCAGCGUCGCCGACCGGACAAACGCUCCCUCUCUCCACCGCAGCUCCAACAACUACAGACGACAACCGUGCCAGAUCUGUCACCGGAGCAAACCAUAACUAAAAAAAGGAAUUAAGAACAUAUCCGAAAACAGUUAAAGAAAAACUAAAAUCGACUGUGUUGUUGCGAUUUUUGUUUGUUAUUGCAGGUGAUUGUGUUCCUCACAACCAGCAAGGAAGGGAAGGGGAGAAGAAGCUGAGCCAGAUCAUCCACUUCUCGUUUUCUUCCUGCGGCGGCGCGUGAGUCCACGCGCCGCCAGUAACGGUGGCGCGUGGGAAGACGCGCCGCCACUGUUCCUGCGGUGCAGAAGGGCUUCCCUGUAAUUUCUGGAUUUUUAGGGACUGUUUUUGUAAUUUUUAGGAUUAUGUUAUUGUAAUAUUAUUGUAAUUUUUGUUUAGUUUGUUUAGAAAUUGUAUUUUGUAUUGUGGAUGUAAAAACAAAAGGAACAAAAGAAAGGAAAAGAAAAGAAAAGAAACAAAAAUAUAGUAAGAGUGAAUGUGUGUGUGUUUGUAUUUUUUUUUUUUAUAUAUAUAUAUUUUUUAUGAUAAAAUUGCAAAGAUUAAAGAAGAAUUUAAUAUUUUGAUUGGAUCACGGUUAAGAAUUAUUAACUUAUACGUAAGUUGUAUUUCUAAUAUCCGAUGAAAAAACAAUUAUUAAAACUUCUUUAAACACAUUAAAUUCGCGAAGCAGCUUACCUCAGGUAGGGUGCGUUAGGGGUGCUAAUACCUUCCCUAACCACAACCAGUCCCUUACCCGCGAAUCUCUGAUAAGACCAGUACAUCCGGUUUCCUAGUAGCCUUAAAUAAAUUACUAGGUGGCGACUCCAAUGAACCAAUUCAAAUCAAACAUAACAACAGAUAAAAUCGCCAGCCGAUGCCGCGCGGAUUUUUUAUGACGUGCGACAAAUAUAUUCAAGUCUCAUAAUAUCAAUUAAUAAGUCAACAUAAAAGAAUUACUAAAACAAAUUGAAAGAUAAACAAUUUCAUCACUAAAGAGUAAUAAAUGCUAACUAACUACAUAUAUGCAUUUAGACUAAAUGAAUACAAUAUUAAGAUUAAGAGUCACAUUGUCUUAAAACAUCCAAUGUAUUCUAUUACUUUAUAUUAUAAACUAAUCUUAUCAUUCUGAAAAUGAUUUAGCCAUACUAACAUCUAUACAUAUAUAUAAUACAUUCAUUACAUACUACACAUCUUCUAUUUGAUUUUUACAAUACGAAGGUAAUACAAUCAUUACAUACUACACAUCUUCUAUCUGAUUUUGACAACACAAGGGUUUUCAAAGAAAAUAAAGACAUAAAUAUUACAUUCCAAAAUGAUAAUUCAUAAACAGAAAAACCACAUUAAUUAAUUUACCCAAUAUCUUAGUCAUAUAUUAAUUAUUUUACCCUUAACCUCUGAAAUUUUAUACUUCUAACUUCAUUCAAUUAAUUUACAUAAUUUUUUCAAAACUUAAAUAUUCAGCUAACUCAUCUCGAUUGCCAAUAAUUCUAACACUUUCAUAUAAUUACCCACAAAUUUCGUUAUCCUUCCUCAGUUACUAAUAAAUCCGAUAAUUCCAUCUUAACGGCUCUCUCUUGAACGGCUUUCAUGCUUUGACAAAUCCACUUGUAUGCAAUUGCUCAAUGUAUUUCAACCUUGUCUAAGAAGUUAUACUAAAACACGUAAGUUAUCAUUCUUUUAAUGAAAGUUUUUUCAAACUUGUAUACAUCACCACUUUUCCGUAUUGAACUUUUUUUAUUACAAAUAAUAGAGAUUGUAUGGGAACUUGAAGAAUGGGAUAUGGUAUCAAUCUAAUCAAUGAUCAUUUAUUCAUUAAAUCGAAAUUGAAAACCAAGUUCUGCUCAUCACAUGCUACCAGUUGUUGACGUCAUUUUCUGCCACGCAUUGUCGCAGCUGAGCAACUCGUCACAACUAUCCCAAUAGCUUCUCCAUGUAACCAAAAACCCCACCGUGAACACCAGGUCUCUUCAGAAUGUUUAGAAACGGUAGAGAGAGCUGAAAGAGAGAAGAAUAAAAGAGAAGAGGACUGACCUUUGAUCGAGCAGAUCUCUACCUUUAGACAUCCGUUUGUCUCACCGUCAGUCUAAGAGCAAAGAGAAGACUUGUUUCAGAUCCGACAGCACACGCUCUUCCACCGGUAGUGGCGCGUGAAUCCACGUGCCGGAAGUGGUGGUGUCAUGUGGUACACACGCUGCCACUUAUUCUAGUAAUCUUCUAGUGUCUAUUGCAAUAUACCUUGACAUGUUAAACACAAAGAAAUGUCGAUUCAUAACCUUAAAAUAUUUUUUUGGACAAAUUGCUAUAAUGUUGUGAAAUUUUGGGAAAAAAUGCUUAUUUUGUGUUUUUUUUUCGGAUUGUUGGACACUUUUAAUUUGGAUUGAUGUGUGUUAUUGUUUUGAAAUAAUUUGAAUAUUUGUAGUGAAUUAUAAGUUUAUUUUUAGAUUGUUAUUGUUUUUUGGACAUUAAAUAUAUAUUGAUGCAUGAAUUAUGUUUGGGUUUAUGUUGAUUUGUUUGGAUUAAUAUGCAAUUUGAACAAAGUUUGUGAAAUUAAUAAGAUUCAUGUAGAUUUUUGUUGUUGCUCGACUUCAAGUUAAUGAAUGAUAUUUUGUUUUGAAUUAAUAUUAUGGUAAAAAUAGCCAUGAUAAAAAUAAUUUAUUUGUGUUUAAUUAAACAAUGUCUUCGUCCAUUUUCCAAAUCCUUGGAAGAUCAUCUUGUAAUUAAUUUUGAGUUCGCCAUAUUUUCCUACCAUUUUAAUAUUUGGAAUUGUGACCUACAUGCGAGGCGUUUUGAGUGUUUCAAACGAAUCGUUUUACCUUUUACAAAAACAAAAAAAAAAUCUCUUCUUUCAAAAAUACAAUCUUAUUUUAAAUAGCAUAUAGCCAAAUAAAUAAUCAUAUCUAGCUUAAAAAAUAGAAUACAUGGUGUGUUUUAGUAUUUUUAUACAGAAUUCAAAAAAAAAUAUUUGCAUUCAUUUUGGAUUUAAUAACUGGUAUAUUGAAUCCAUGAAAACUAUGUCAAUAUUUCAAUAAUCCAUAAAAAAUUUUAAUUCAUGAGAAUUGAUGGUCAAUAUUCUGGUAUAAAUGUUGGACCUACAAAUAGGCUGGUAUUUAAAUAUCAAGAGUUGACCAGAAAAUUCUUAUAAAUAUUUUAAAUAUUCACCAAUUUUAAUUGGAAGUAUUUUUCAUCACAAUACACGAGUUGUGAAAAAACCCUUCUACCUUCGAAGAUAGGUGAACCUUGUUAGGACACCUAUAUGGAUAUUUUUCAUAAGAAUUCAUUUGGGCAUAUGAGCCCAUAAUAAAUUAAAAAAAAACUGAUUUAUUUACAUGAAUAAAUCUUCAUCUUAAGCCCUAGACAUACCACUAUUUAGGAACCUAUCAAAGCCUUUAAACCACAUUCAAACCACACAAUGCAGCUUACCUCAGGUUUCGAUUCCUGCAAUCUAUUUAAGCACAAGGCAAUAGCAAAGCAAAUAUGCUAUUUAUUGUAAACCCCGGGAAAAAAUAAUAAAUAAAUAAAAGUGAAGAAAUUCAUGUAUAUGAUUAAAUAAAAACAGAAAUUCAGAAAUUUUUUAAUAUAAAUUUCCGGGCGAAAUAAUUCAAGACAUUAUAAUAAACCCGGUACUGUUGAGGGUUAGAUUUAAUUGAAGAGAAUAAUGCACUUAAAGGCAAAAGGGGGUCUAAAUAUAAAUAAGGGAAAAUAUAGAGUAUAAAUACUCUCUCCUCAACAAAAAAAUCUGUAAGAACCAUAAGGAGAGAAAAUAGGAGUUUUAUACCCAUUCUCGAGAAAUCAAGAGAGAAACACUAAAAUUUUAAGAACCCAUCCAAGAUUAAGAGCUUAAAGAUGGGAUAAACACUUGAGAGCAAGGAAUUACCAAGAAAUUGAACAAGAAGAAAAGACAGGAGGGGAAUUGAACAAGAAGAAAAGAAAAGAGGGAGUUCAGAAUCUUCAACUGGUUGAAGAUCAAAAUCUUAAUUUGUACCGGGUAAGGUAUUCUAAACAUGAUCUUAAAAAAAAAUUUAUUUUUAAAUUCGAUAAAGAAUUGAUGCCUUGAUAUUGAAUCAUAGGUUAGGGUUCUUAGACAUAAAUUGGGGAAAAAGUACUUAUUAUUGAUAUUAAGUUAAUUCAUGUGUGUGGUAUGUAACUUAUUAAAGUAUUGUGUGAAGGGAAGGGGGAGACGAGUCUAGACAGACUGGUCUCCUAACUUUCGAUGAGAUGUCGGGUAGGAGGAUGAGGGGAUUAGGAUCGGGUUCUUCAUAGAAAUUGUAGAUUUGAAUGUUAGCUAACCAAGGAAACUGGUCUUGCUCAAUUUGGAAAUGUAGAACUCCAGUUAUGGGUUACCAACUGAGACUGCGUCGUGACUGAUUUUGUAGGGCAGUAGGACUAAUUAGUAAAUGCACAAUUUUGACUAUCUUGGAGGCAAAACUGGGUUCUCCUCCCUCAGAGAACUAGUAGCCUCGUGUCUUAGCUUUCCAACGAGAUCAAUCUCAGUUAAAAUGGAGUUUUAGAACUUUAGAUAUAGUUAAAAAUCUGAUGAGUGUUCAGACAAUAACAGUUGGAAAUUGGAUAGUAACAGUUCAAAGUUACACAGUAAUAGUUGGAAAUUGGACAGUAACAGUUCAAAGUCAGACAAUAACGGUUGGAAAAGUCAGACAGUAACAGUUGGAAAAGUCAAAUAGUAACAGUUCAAAGUCAGACAGUAACGGUUGGAAAAGUCAAACAGUAACAGUUCAAAGUCAAACAGUAACAGUUCAAAGUCAGACAGUAACAGUUGAAAAUUGGACAGUAACAGUUCAAAAUUCGACAGUAACAGUUGGAAAUUGGACAGUAAACAGUUCAAAGUUAGACAGUAACAAUAGACUUUCAUGUGAAUACUAUAAAUAAGAAUAUAAAUGAAUUGAGUCAUACGAACACUUGUGUAUUGAGAUAUUAACUCUGAAAAUAUACAUGAUAUAUGUAUGUAUGUUAUUAUGAGGAAAUGAACAUGCAUAGAAAGUAACAUAUGAGUAAUGGAUGAAUAUAAAUUUUCUAUAAUAUCGGCUUGAAAGAAUCAUAACAAAAAAAAAAACUUCCUUGUGAUUCAGGAGGAGCAACCAGGAUCGGAUCUUCUGUUAGGGGAGGUCGCGAGACAGGCGAAGCAGGUGCGUGAUUUUCCCUCCUAUUUGCACUUAUACAAUUUAGAAUCCUUCUGGUGAAUGCAAUUAUAAUAAAUAUCGUGUUCAAUGUAAAUAAAGCCUAGUGUAUUUACAAGAUUAGCUUCGGCUAAUGGCAUCCAUGAUAGGAUUGCCGGGAAAUGAUUUACACGAUUAGCUUCGGCUAAUGGCAUCCGUGAUGGGAUUGCCGGGAUAUGAUUUACACGAUUAGCUUCGGCUAAUGGCAUCCGUGAUGGGAUUGCCGGGAUAUGAUUUACACGAUUAGCUUGCAAGGUCACCCAGUUUAUGCAAGUAAAUAAGAUUAUUCAAUUAAGAAUAUACAAAUGGGUGUUAAUUGGGUUUAAAAGAUUUACAAGCAAAAUAUAAGUUCUUUGUUAGAAUUCUCAUGGAUUCGAUAGAAAGUUAAUACUUCAUUCGUAUUCAUUACAUGAGCAUACAUAUAUUCUUUAUCAACAUAAUGGUAUGUUUAUUUAUGUAACAGGUCCAUCAAACAUCCAGGAAGAUCAUUAGUUUAGGACUCUACUUUGCGAAACUUAUGUAAAUAUUUAACUUAAAACAAAAGAGAAUUAACGUGUUUAUGUAGUAUACUUUUGUGCAAACCUUGAUGUAUUUAUAAAGGUUCAGCUUAGCAUGUAGUAUUUUAGUUAUCUUGUAAUUAACCCUUUUGAAAUAUUUAAGAACACUUCUUAUAUUGUAAAUACUUUCUUUGCAUGUUAGUAUUCCUUUUCCUUUAAAUUUUAUGAUAUAAUGUGUUGGACUAUGUUUAUAUUGAACUUACUCGUAGGAUAUAUAUAUAUAUUGUGUGGAUUGUAUGAGGUUUGAUAUAAGGUCCGGAAUUAAGGGACCUUGUGAUGAUGGGUCGUUUGAGUAAACUGAUAGUAGUCGAUAACUUGGGAUGUCCUAAAUGCAAACGAAACUCUGCCGAAUUUUUGGAAAAAAAAAAUUUACCCUCAAAUAAAGAGGAUAUGUUGGAAUCUUUUAACAUUGAUUGUGUCAGGACUAUUACAGUUGGUAUCAGAGGCCUGGUAUAGGUUCUGGGAAGAAAUCAAAAAAGGUUGUUGAUGUUCAUUAAUUUAUUGCAGGAUGGUACGUACCCGUCAAGAGAUUAGAACAGAUCUAUCCUCUGCAGGGAGGGGGAAUAGAAAUAUAGACUUUUCCGAGGGGCAAGAAGAGAGCCCUUUGGAAGAUACUGCUUCACAUGCACCGGUAGUAUCGACUCAAGCAAGGCAUGAAGAAUCGUUGGGGCCUCAAAUUAGAGAGGCACCAAGGCAAACUGGGGAUGUUCGGCCGACCACGUCAGCCCCGCGGGAAAGAGUAGAGGAGGCCCCUCAGACUACACCUGCAGGGCCAUCUGUUUCUUAUGUUGAUCCGAUGCUCUUGGCCCAGGUAGUCAAAACAGUAAUGGAAGGUAUGGCUAAUGCUGCCACUUCUAUGCCAGCACCCCCACCUGCACCCAUCAUACCAACCGUUUCAGAAGCAGCUACAGCUACUAAUGACGUGGUACAACUAGUUCGUUUGGUGAAAAGUAUGAGAGAAAUGGGUUGUGAACCCUACUUAGGUGAACAAAAUGCUAAAGUGGCGGGAAGGUGAAUUAGAAAGGUGGAGAAAACCAUGAUUCAAAUUAAGAUACCACAUGAUCUGCGGGUAGAUUGUGUUACUCAAUUACUAUCAGACAGUGCUAUGACUUGGUAGGAGACAGUUCAGUUGAGGAGGGCUACAGAAACCCUAUCCUGGGAUGACUUCAAGAUAGAGUUUGAGAAUCAAUAUUACUCCAAAUAUCAUCGGAAGAUGAAGGAACAAGAAUUCCUAGCUUUGAGACAGGAGGGAAUGUCAGUACUUGAGUAUGAGAGACGAUUUCAUGAUCUCUCACUAUUCGCACCACAUUAUGUCCCAUCAGAACAACACAUGAUAGAAAAGUUAAGGGAUGGCUUCAGACAAGAAUUGAAGCAGGGGUUGAUUGCUUUGCAAUUCAAGACAGUAAGGGAACUGAUUGAAGCAGCACAGGCCUUGGAGGCUUGUAUGGAAGAAGGCCAAUAGAGUCAUGGGGGUGCAGGAAAACGAAAGGAUAUGGAAUUUUUAGGCAGGCCACCACUUCCAAAGAAAGGUAGAGGCGAACAGUUCCUUCAAUUCAAAAAGAAAGGGGGGACGUCAACUAGCUUCCGACAGGAUAUCGGUGGGAGGUCGGGAAGUGGUCAGACCCGCUCCAGGGCUAUAGCUGCAAGGGGGCAUAAUGAUCAGAAGGAAAUUGGCUACCCUCGAUGUGCUAAGUGUGAACAAAGACACCCCAGGAGUUGUAUGGUUUCUCCAGGACGAUGCUAUAUAUGUCGAGGAGAAGGUCAUAAGUGGAAAACCUGUCAGUACUUAGGAAGAGGAUGUCAUCACUGUGGUGAGAAGGGUCACUUUAAAAGGGAAUGCCCCCAGUUAAACAGUGAACAGCCUCAGAGACAUAGGCAGCAAAGUCAGAGUCAUCAGCAGUCUAUCACAGUAAACAGACCGGGAAGGUCAACUCAGUCAGGAGCUAACUCAAAUAGGGGACGACCCAGAGUGCAAAAUGAAAGGGGUCAAGGAAGGGUUUUCCAUAUAACCCAGGAGGAUGUCAGAGCAGCAUCAGAUGUGGUGGCAGGUAUGCUGCAAAUGAAUGACUAUCAAAUGCAUGUUUUGUUUGAUUCUGGUGCCACUCACUCCUUUAUAGCAAAUAAAAAUGUAACCAAAUUGAGUAAGGAAACAAAAAGGGUAGAAAAAGGAUUUAUUAUUGGGACACCUUUGGGUGAAACUGUGGAAACAAAUGUUGUAUUGAAAGGGGUGGGAAUUAACAUUAAUGGGUGUGAACUAAAAGCAGAUUUAAUACCCCUAGAAUUAAGUGAUUUUGAAAUAAUUCUAGGUAUGAAUUGGUUGGGAAAAAAUAAGGCUCGUCUAGACUGCUUUACAAAAACAGUAACCUUCCAGGGGGCUAAGGGUGAAAUAAUGGUCUUUAAAGGGGAGAGAACUUCCAACUUUCCAAAUAUGAUCUCGGGCAUGGUUGCGAGAAAACUACUAAAGAAAGGUUGUACAACAUACCUUGCCUAUGUGAUAAAUUUAGAAAAGGGUAAAAUAGGACUGUCCGACAUUCCAAUUGUGAGGGAAUUUCCGGAUGUAUUUCUGGAAGAAUUGCCAGGACUACCCCCAGAAAGAGAAGUUGAAGUCACUCUAGAUAUAUUGCCUGGGGUGUCUCCUAUAGCCCAACCACCGUAUAGCAUGGCCCUAAAAGAAUUGGAUGAGUUGAAAAUUCAAUUGCAGGAGCUUUUAGACAAAGGGUUCAUACGACCAAGCAACUCACCUUGGGGGGCACCUGUAUUAUUUGUGAAGAAGAAGGAUGGAACGUUGAGGCUUUGCAUAGAUUACCGUCAACUGAAUAAAGUGACGGUAAAGAACAGAUAUCCACUUCCAUGAAUAGAUGAUUUGUUCGAUCAGUUGAAGGGUGCCAAAGUAUUCUCAAAGAUUGAUUUAAGAUCAGGAUACUACCAAAUGCGAAUCAAGGGGCAAGAUGUGCCGAAAACUGCCUUCAGAACUUGCUACGGACACUUUGAGUUCUUAGUGCUACCCUUUGGAUUAACUAAUGCUCCAACACUUUUUAUGGAUUUAAUGAACCGAGUAUUCCAACCAUACCUUGAUAAGUUUGUUGUCGUAUUCAUCGAUGACAUCUUGGUUUAUUCCAAAUCCUAUGAGGAGCAUGAACAACACCUGAGACAGACACUACAGACUCUGAGUGUAACAGCACGGCUUCUACAAGCCCAAAACAAUAGUAAUUUUUUUUUUUUGUACUUGACAUACAUCGUGUCGGUAAUCGGCGAACAUGUUCCCUUCACAUCAUCAAUAUAUAAUCCAUACAUCAACAACAAUCAACAUUUCAUUUAAAAGUGAAUCUUACAUAAACUUAUAAUAUUAUGUUUGCAUGAUUAGAAGUUCGCAUUUAAAAUAUACAUGCAUAGUCAUGAGUUUGUAUUCUAUCUUACAAAUAGUCAUCACGAAUUUAAUCUAAAAGGAUCUAAUAAUAGUUAUACAUUCAGUACAUUGAUUCAUAUAAAAUACAUCAUGAUUUAGAAUGCAACUACAUGAUUCCUUGCAAAAGUAGGUUCCCAUGUAUCGGGUUUCCUAGGCACCUUGUUGGUAUGGCGUCCCUACUGCAGUACAAAACAUUUACAAGAAUGCAAUUACUUAAUAAUAAUAAUAAUAAUAAUAAUAAUAACAACAAUAAGAAAAUGGUCUGGCAGUUUAACGAAGCAUUAACAUUAUCUCAUGUUUGAAGCGUGACAUUUGUAGUUCCUUCAUGUUCUUGGUAUACAUAACUUGCAGUAUAUAUAUAUAUACACCAAUUCUUGCAAUUAACUAUAAUCUUAAAUCCGGCCAUUCUUUUAAGACAUCAUUUGUCGAGGUUAACGAUUCACUCACCCCGGCCAUCCCCUUCGAAUUCCAUCAGCCAAUACUAAUCAACCGUUUGUCCUGGUCAUCCCUUUGGAUGCCAUUAGUCGAAGCUAAUCGUUCAUUUAUUCCGGUCAUCCAUUCGGAUGCUAUUAGCCGAAGCUAAUCAAUCGUUUGUCUCGGUCAUCCCUUCAGAUGCCAUUAACCAAAGCUAAUAAUUCAUUUGUCCUGGUCAUCCAUUCGGAUGCCAUUAGUCGAAGCUAAUCAAUCGUUUGUCCCGGUCAUCCCUUUGGAUGCCAUUAGCCGAAGCUAAUCAAUCAUUUGUCCCGGUCAUCCAUUCGGAUCCCAUUAGCCGAAGCUAAUCAUUCGUUUGUCCCGGUCAUCCCUUCGGAUGCCAUUAGCCGAAGCUAAUCAAUCAUUUGUCCCGGUCAUCCAUUCGGAUCCCAUUAGCCGAAGCUAAUCAUUCGUUUGUCCCGGUCAUCCCUUCGGAUGCCAUUAGCCGAAGCUAAUCAAUCGUUUGUCUCGGUCAUCCCUUCGGAUGCCAUUAGCCGAAGUUAAUCAUUUUUUUGUCCCGGUCAUCCAUUCAGAUGCCACUAACCGAAGCUAAUCAAUCGUUUGUCCCGGUCAUCCCUUCAGAUGCCAUUAGCCGAAGCUAAUCAUUCAUUUGUCCCGGUCAUUCAUUCGUAUGCCAUUAGCCGAAGCUAAUCAAUCAUUUGUCAACACUUAAGCAUUUGGCAAUCUGAUAUCUGAACUAACACAAUACGGCAACGUUCAUGAUAAGGUAUUUCAAUGUUCAAGGUCAUCUCUUCAGAUGCCUUUAGCUGAAGCUAAUCGUUCAUUUAUUAACAUUUAAGCAUUUGACAGUCUGGUAUCUGAAUUAACACAAUACAAUAAUAUUCAUGAUAAAGUAUUUUCAUUAUUCAACAUUAUUUAAAAGGAAGGUGAAAGUCACCUACCUGCAGUAGAAGCUCUACUUGUGCUCCCCUGUUGCUACUGUUGCACCACGCCAGUGGUCCCUCCUGCAGUCACAGACUCAUCUCAUAAAUUUUCCUCAUUCAAGGAUAUGUUUUAUAAUAAUCAUAUCAAUAGCUAAUAAAUCUUUCUUUCAAUCAUUUCUUUCUUUAUAUCUUACGUUUUUCUCAUUACACCCAUUAAUGUUGUCAUUCUUUAUCCAACCAUAGUUAUCAUUCCUUCAGGCCGAUAUUAUAGAGAAUUCAUAUUCAUCAAUUACUCAUAUGUUACUUUCUUAUGCAUGUUCAUUUCCUCAUAAUAACAUACAUACAUAUAUCAUGUAUAUUUUCAGAGUUAGUAUCUCAAUGUGCAAGUGUUUGUAUGACUCAAUUCCUUUAUAUAGUAUUCACGUGAAAGUCUACUGUUACUGUCUAACUUUGAACUGUUACUGUCCACUUUCCAACUGUUACUGUCUAACUUUGAGAUGUUACUGUUUGAUUUUGAGCUGUUACUGUUUGACUUUGAACUGUUACUGUCUGACUUUUCCAACCGUUACUGUCUGACUUUGAACUGUUACUGUUUGACUUUUUCAACCGUUACUGUUUGACUUUGAACUGUUACUGUUUGACUUUUCCAACUGUUACUGUUUGACUUUGAACUGUUACUGUUUGACUUUUCCAACCGUUACUGUUUGACUUUGAACUGUUACUGUUUGACUUUUCCAACCGUUACUGUUUCACUUUGAACUGUUACUGUCUAGACAUUUGAACUGUCAUUGUCUACACUUUGAACUGUUAUUAUCUAGACAUUUGAACUGUUACUGUCUACACUUUGAACUGUUACUGUCUAGACAUUUGAACUGUUAUUGUUUACACAUUGAACUGUUACUGUCCAACUGUUACUAUCUAGACAUUGAACUGUUACUGUCGGAACACUCAUCAGAUUUUUAACUAUAUCUAGACUUAUAGAACUCUGUUUCAAGCGAGAUUAGUCUCGUUGGAAAGCUAAUACACGAGGCUACAAGUUCUUUGAAGGAAGGAGAACCCAGUUCUGCCUUUGAGAUAGCCAAAAUUGCUCAUCAACAAACACUACCCUACAGGUUCUGUCAAGACCCAAUCUCGGUUGAUGACCCAUAGCUGGGGUUCUACAGCACCAUAUUGAGCAAGACCAAUUUAUUAGUUAGCUAACAUCCAAAACUACAAUUACUAUGAGAAACUUGAUCUUAAUUCUCUCAUCCUUCUACUCGAAUUCUCUCCAAAUGUUAGGAGACGAACCUUUCCAUUUACACACAACAUCCACAAUUUAACUCUUUUUCUAUCAUCUCAACCCCUGGUCAUAUCACAUAUCGUUUAAGACUGUAAAAAAAAGAAUAUCUUUAUAAGAGCCAAUUUAUCUUAUUUAUUUCAAUCUUCCCUCUUAACGUCAAAAUAAAACAUUCUUGUCGAUUUUACAAACUUUCCGAACAAUAUUCUUCUAAACACAAUCCUUGACACAGUUCCUAUAAACCAUAAAUAACAAACGAAUAAUAUUCCAAACAAUCUAUACUGUCAAGUUAUAAUGCAUUAUUAUGAGUAUAACAUAUCCAAAUAUUAACUUCAUCAAAUGGUGAAAUUUCCAGAAAUAUGGGUUUAACCGAACUGACCUCAAACUUGCAGACCUACUGUGCGAGAUAUACAACUUUUAUACCAAAUGUUUGUUUCAGAUCUCCACCAUUCAGAAUCUAGACAAAAUUAGGAAGAACAACAUAUCCAAGUUAUAGCCUAAUCCAACGGUAGCUGAAGGAGAAAACAGACAGCAAAGAAGACUGUCCAGAAGUGUAUUUUCCCAAAUAUUUUCCUCCCUCGAUAUCUCUCAAACGGGGACUGAUAUAUAAAAUCCCUACGGUGACAAUGUACACGACAUGGAUGAGAACAACAUACCCGAAUAUCGUGCUGAUCCAACGGUAGAAGGUGGAGUUAUAGCUGUCGGUUGAUUUACCAUCAAUAUAUCUUCUCUCCAGCCUCUCUCUAAACUCUCUCCUACUCUUGCCAGUCACUCCAAGAGAGAAAAUAGAAUGAUAUUUAUAGUUCUAACAUCUUGUUAAUUGCACAUUUAUCCCCACCUCUUUUUAUCAUUUAUACAUAAACUCCCAACCUUCUGUUAUUUGAAUAUUGACCUCUCUUGAUCUUACGUAUUCAUUUUGUCCUCACAAAUGUUUUUCUUUUCAAUGAUUUAGUACUAUAUUCACUUUUCAUGUCAUUAAUUUCACUAUUUUUAUCUUGAUUAGGUUUCUUUAAUUUAAUUUAACCCAUUUUACUAUUGGUUAAAUUUCUCAUCUUUUAAAUACCCAGAAAAAUUAUAACCGAGGGUUUACACUGAGGAGCCGCCAGUUGUAUGCCAAGUUGGAUAAAUGUGACUUCUGGUUAAAAGAAGUUACCUUUUUGGGGCAUGUAGUGUCUUCAAAAGGCAUUUUUGUGGACCUUUAGAAGGUGGAAGCAGUUUUGAGAUGGGAAAGGCCUACUACGGUAACUGAAAUACGUAGUUUUCUCGGAUUGGCAGGGUAUUAUAGAAGAUUUAUCGAAGGGUUUUCAACGAUAGCAACUCCAUUAACACGACUCACCAGGAAGAACAUAAGAUGGGAGUGGUCAAAGGAGUGCGAUGAGAGCUUUCAAGAAUUGAAGAGAAGGCUUACUACUGCCCCCGUACUAAUCCUUCCAUCCAGAAUAGAAGGCUUUGUAGUCUACAGUGAUGCCUCAAGAAAAGGACUGGGUUGUGUUCUAAUGCAGCAUGGAAAAGUAGUUGCCUAUGCAUCGAGACAACUGAAGACUCAUGAAGUCAACUAUCCAGUUCACGACUUAGAAUUGGCAGCAGUAGUUUUUGCUUUACGAGUAUAGAGGCACUACCUAUACGGAUCCCAGGUCCAAAUUUUCACGGAUCAUAAGAGCCUUAAAUAUCUAAUGUCGCAAAAGGAGUUGAAUAUGCGACAACGGAGAUGGGUAGAAUUAAUUAAAGACUACGACUGUAUUAUAGAUUAUCAUCCAGGAAAAGCGAAUGUCGUCACGGAUGCUCUCAGCCGUAAAGACAAAGUGAUUAGGAGUGGACCAACGACUUGGAAUGAGGAAACCAUGAUUGAGCUAAAGAGAUUGGGGGCAAUAUUAGGUGUGAGUCUGGAAGGAUCCUUAAUGGCUCAACUAAGGGUGAAGUCAGGAUAUCGAGAGCAAAUAUUAGAGGCAUAGCAACAUGAUGAUGAGGUGUUAAAAGUGAGAAUCAAACUGGAAUCGGGGGGUGAAACUCUUUUUCCAAUGGGUGAUGAUGGAAUAGUGAUGUUGGGGCGACGUAUGUAUGUGCCCAAAAAGACCGGAAUCACAUUGGUGAAAAACAAAAAUGAUGAGCUCAUUCCUACUCGCAUCUCGAGUGGAUGGAGAAUGUAUGUUGAUUACAGAAAGCUCAAUCUUUCUACACGCAAAGAUCAUUUCCCAUUACCAUUCAUGGAUCAAAUGCUUGAACGCCUAGCAGGUAAGUCUUUUUAUUGCUAUUAAUCCUGAGGAUCAAGAAAAGACUACAUUUACAUGUCCAUUUGGUACAUAUGCAUAUAGGAGAAUGCCUUUCGGUCUCUGUAAUGCUCCUGCAACUUUUCAAAGAUGCAUGAUGAGUAUUUUUUCUGACUAUGUUGAAAGAAUAAUCGAGGUUUUUAUGGAUGAUUUCAUGGUGUAUGGUGAUUCUUUUGAUAAAUGUCUAGAAAAUUUAUCUUUAAUCUUGAAAAGGUGCAUUGAAACUAACCUUGUCUUGAACUAUGAAAAGUGUUAUUUUAUGGUAGAACAAGGAAUAGUUCUUGGGCAUGUUGUGUCUUCACGUGGAUUAGAGGUUGAUAAAGCUAAGAUAGAUGUUAUUUCAUCAUUGCCUUACCCCUCAUGCGUGAGGGAAGUUCGUUCUUUUCUAGGCCAUGCAGGUUUCUAUCGACGCUUUAUCAAAGAUUUCUCGAAGAUUACAGCACCCUUGUGCAAACUAUUAGCCAAAGAAGUGGAUUUUGUGUUUGAUCAAGCAUGUAAAGAUGCCCAUGAUGAGCUUAAGAGACGUGUCACAUCUGCCCCUAUCAUCCAACCACCAAAUUGGGAUGAACCUUUUGAGAUAAUGUGUGAUGCGAGUGACUAUGCGGUAGGAGCUGUGCUUGGGCAAAGAAUUAGGAAGAAUUUGCAUGUUAUCGCCUAUGCUUCUCGCAUGUUGGAUGGAGCACAAUGCAAUUACCAUACAACUGAAAAGGAACUUUUUGCAGUGGUGUUUGCUCUUGAAAAAUUUAGGUCAUAUCUACUUGGUACAAAAGUCAUUGUUUUUACUGACCAUGCAGCUCUCAGGUAUCUUUUGAAGAAGAAGGAGUCCAAACCAAGACUGAUUAGGUGAAUCUUGCUUUUACAAGAAUUCGAUCUUGAGAUCAAAGACAAAAAAGGUGUCGAAAACCAUGUGGCUGAUCACUUGAGCCGACUAAGGACCGAGGAUAUACAGAUCGAAACAAUAAGAGAGACAUUCCCUGAUGAGCAGUUGUAUAUGUUGCAUUCCUCUACAAGACCAUGGUAUGCUGAUUUGGUAAACUAUUUAGUCACCAAAGAAUUCCCUCCAGGUUUGUCUAAACCCCAAAAAGAUAAGUUACGAGCUGAUGCUAAAUAUUAUUUUUGGGACGAUCCUUACCUUUUGAAAUUUUGUGCGGAUCAAGUAGUUAGGAGGUGUGUACCACAAGAUGAAUUUCAUUCCAUUCUCACUUUUUGUCAUUCUCAUUCUUGUGGUGGGCAUUUUGGAGCAAAAAGAACAGCCCACAAGGUACUUGAAAGUGGUUUCUAUUGGCCUUCUAUUUUUAAAGAUGCAUAUCACUUCUGCAAAUCAUGUGAAAAAUGCCAAAGAACAGGUAAUAUCACUCAUAAGAAUCAAAUGCCUUUAACGAAUAUUCUUGUAAGUGAAAUUUUUGAUGUUUGGGGUAUUGACUUUAUGGGUCCAUUUCCUUCUUCAUUUGGCAAUCUUUAUAUUCUUCUUGCUGUUGAUUAUGUGUCCAAAUAGAUUGAGGCGAAAGCCACACGAACUAACGAUGCUAAGGUUGUUUUAGAUUUUGUCAGGACUCACAUAUUUGACAGGUUUGGAAUCCCUAAAGCUAUCAUUAGUGAUCGUGGCACUCAUUUCUGUAAUCGUUCCAUGGAAGCAUUGCUACACAAAUAUCAUGUGACUCAUCGAACUUCCACAGCAUAUCAUCCUCAAACGAAUGGCCAAGCUGAAAUUUCAAAUCGAGAAAUCAAGUCCAUUUUGGAGAAAACAGUGCAACCUAACCGGCGAGAUUGGAGUCUAUGUCUUGGAGAUGCACUUUGGGCUUAUCGGACUGCUUAUAAAUCACCUAUAGAAAUGUCACCUUAUAGAAUGAUUUAUGGGAAAGCAUGUCAUCUACCGGUGGAGCUUGAACACAAAACGUUUUGGGCCAUUAAACAAUGUAACAUGGAUUAUGAUGCUGCUGGGAUUGCAAGAAAACUACAACUGCAAGAGUUGGAAGAAAUUCGAAAUGAUGCUUACCAGAAUGCAAGGAUUUACAAAGAAAAGACUAAGAAUCUUCAUGACCGAAUGCUUACAAGAAAGGAGUUUCAUGUUGGAGACAAAGUCCUUCUUUAUCAUUCGCGUUUGAAACUUUUUCCUGGAAAAUUGCGCUCUCGUUUGAUUGGACCCUUUGUUGUUUCUAAUGUUUUUCCUUAUGGUGCAGUUGAAAUUACAAAUUUAGAAACCAACAAAGUACUCAAGGUCAAUGGGCAUCGUUUAAAACCUUUUUAUGAAGGUUGGACGGCAGAACUCACCGCUUCUGUAGAGUUAGCUGAACCAAUCUAUGAAGAAUGAACAUGCCACAUGUCAAGCCAAUGACAUAAAACAAAAGCGCUUACUGGGAGGCAACCCAGCACAAAAAAAAAUCAGAUUUGCUUUCUUUUUCCUUAUCUUUUAUUUUUUCGCAUUUUAAUUUAUUUUCUGUCAUUCUCUUCUGUUCCUUUGCUUUUAUUUCAACAUUGAGGACAAUGUUGUGUUUUAAGUGUGGGGGUAUUGGGAGAAUGUUGGUUUUCUAAUUUUGGUUUUCUUUGUUAUUUUUCAAAAAAAAUAAUUAUGUUUGAUCUUUUGAACUCCCAUUGGUUUUUGAGAAUAUGAGUAUUAUGUAUGAGAAUUAGUUGAGAUAGAUGAAGAUAUAAAUCAAAUGAAGGAGUAUGCAUGUAAAUUUUAAGGUUUAAUUGGUUUAGGGAUUGACUUUGAGAAUAUGCCAUGUUGACUUUAUAGUGUUAUACCAAUGCAAGCUUUUGAGCCUUCAACAUUAUAUUCUUUGAUUGUGCAUUCUUUCAAUGAUAUGUAUCUCUAGAACUUGCUUCAUAUCUUGUUGAGAUUACAUUCGCAUUACAUAUAUACAUGAAGAUGAUAAAGGCAUUAGAAAUUUUAACCACUUGAGCCAAAAAGCCAACCUAAAACAUAUUAUCCUUAGUGAACCCCUUUUGAGCUUGUUUAUCUUUUCUUUGCUUUAUCCAUGUAUAAGCCUUAACUUUUUAUAUGUUUUCCUUUUCCCUUGGCCAAGGAUUAGUAGAGCAUAUACUUAUGAUAUCUCAUGGAAUUAUGGUUGGAAAUUAUGUGAAAAGAAAGAAGAAGUGAUGCUUGAUGAAAAGAUGGGCAAAGUUGCCAAAGGUAAAAAAAAAAAAAAAAAAAAAAAGAACAAAGAAAAAGAAAAAAGUGUUCCUUUAUGUUCUUAAGAUUUUAUGUUGAAAAAGCUUGAAAUCAAAAGAAGAUAAACAUUGGUGAUUAAAGAUGGAAAAUUUAUGUGCUUUGAUGAAAUAUCUUGUUUGAAAUAUCAUUUUUUAGAAUGCUCUACUUUCUUUGGUUUGAACCUUUUCUUUUACUCUCUUUUACCUCACCUAAACCUUAGCCUUAAACACGAUAUUGCAUGUUUUAAAAUGUAUGUUGAUUCAUGCAUUGUUUGUAAUAUGUUAGUAAUGGAGAUGAGAUUGAAAAGCAAGCUUAUGGUAGAACAUAUUCAUUGAUUGAAUUUGAGAGAUUUAAACAUAUAAGCCUUAAACACGUGAGUGUUGGAGCGUAUAUCAAUGAGAGGGCCUAUCACUUUGGCAUGGCAUAGAUUUCAUUUAAAUCCCGACGAUAAAUUGAGUUUUGAAGUUUGCAUGUAAAUGAAUUCAUGAGAAUUAUACUAUUUAUCAUUCUUGAUUGUAUUCUUGUUUAUAAUGCAUAUAUUCUUGGACAUUGAUGGGAGAUUAAGAGAUUGAUCAUAGUUAUUUUCAAUUUAAUUUUAUUUAUCCUUUCUCGAGGACGAGCAAGAGCUAAGUGUGGGGGUAUUUGAUGUAACUAUAUUAUUCGAUAGUUUCACCCACAUCUACCUAAUGUUUUGUCCAUGUUUUAUAUAUAAAAUGCCUUGAUAUUCUUUGUUUUAUGUUUUGAAGGCACUUUUGGAUGAAAGAUGAAAAAGGGAGUAAAUUGGAGGUAAUUGGCAGAUUUGAUGUUCAGUCAAUGUUUUGUGCAGAGCGUGAGUUCUAGAGAUCGAAAUGAAGUGAUUCCAGUGGCACUAAAAAGCUAACAUUCAUACCUUUCUGGAAAUGUAAUGCAAGAAAAAUAAAAAGAGAAAGAUCAUGGAAAUCACAUCCUGCAAAGUCAAAUCUCGCAUUCUGCCAGUGUUGACCUUUGGCCAUUCAAAAUUUAAUAUCUGGAGCUACAGAAGUCCAAUUAAUUCAAACUCAAUUUUCGUGGAUUUAUGACUUAAAGACCUAUCAACGAUCCAAAUUUCAGCCAAAAAAGAUGUCAUAUGAGGGAGAUAUGAUUUUUCAAAGAUGACAACUGAAUUCUGCCAGCAAACAGGUUUCGUGAAGAAACAAGUCCAAAUUACAUUCCGAAGCAUCUAAACCGACAUCCAAGUUUUUAUAUCAGUAAUUUAGCUCCUCUAAGUCAGAGCUUGAAGAUUUCAUGCAAGGCUAUUUCUCCUUUUAGGAAAAAAUAGUUAUUGAAGUACUUAAAUGUAAACUGCCAACUCAAGGAAGGACUAUUUUGUAAAAUAGAGACUAGGGUUUCUUAGCAUAUAAAAAGAAAGAGAGAAGGAGGCAGCAGCCAGCAGAAAAGAGGGAGAGCAGAAGGAGGCAGCAGCCAGCAGAGAAUAAACACAAAUUCUCUCCUCUACAAACCCAAAAAAUCAUGCUCUUUUCAUUCUUUAGAAGUAGUUGUUCAAUAGUUAUGCAAGGCUAAGCUCUUUUCUUGGUUGCAAGGACACAACAAACCUUCGGAUUUGAAGAACCGUGAGAUUUAUUCUUCCUUUUAUUUUCAGUUUAUGUUAUGAAUGAGUAUGAUUGUUUUCCUAUGCAUAUUUCCUAUGAUUGUUUUUGAUGAUUGCUAGAGCGGACUCUAAGUUAUUGUUGUGAACAAUCUAUUGCUAAGUUUAAUAUCAUAACCGGAGUUGUGAUAUAUGAACUUGUGAAGCAACUAAGCUUGAUAAUUGUGGCGGAACUACGUUAUUGAACUUAGGGAGAACAUUUGAACAAAGUGACACAAGCUGCGGACAGCUUGUAUGUUAAUCUUGAUGAAAUUAUCUAGUUCUUAAAGCUACCAUUAAAUUGAAUCAUUAGUGCGGACACUUUGAUUGUUUGUUGGUUAGGAUUAGUUAUACAGUGGAUCCGUUAAUUAAUCAACGUUAAGAAAAGAUAAAUUUCAGAACAUAAACUGCAAUUUUCGUUUCAAGGAUCGGUUCUAAUUUCCGUUGGUGGAUGUGUGCUUGCGACCAAGGUUGGUUUUCUUGAUAAGUUUCGGUUUUAAUUGAUUUUGUUUGCUAGUUUAAUUGCUGCCAUAGUUUAGAUAAUCACAAACCAAAUCCCCCCAAUUACAUAACGUACAACAUAAAAAUUUGACUUGAAACUUCCUCGUGGGAUCGACCCCUUGCUUGCUCUAUACUAUCUUGUGUGCUUUAAGCUAGGGUAAUUAAUUUGUGCGACCGUGACAUCGCAACAAAAUGAAUUUGGGAAUAACCUAAAAAUGGAUUAUGACAAAUACCAAUAGUUUGAAAGAAAUUGUUUAACUUACAAUAUUCACCACACCAAUCAUUUUGAACAGAUUUAAUUUUGUGGGAAAACUGACGCUCAACAAACACUUAAAAACGUUGAAAUAUAGAAAACACAUCGGAUUGGGCAACAAGAGGAUAAUACCAUAAAUAUUUUGUAUGCGCAUCGAUAAAGAUAACAAAGUAACGAAAACCAUCAGAGGAAAACAUAGAAGCAGAGCCCCAAACAUCAAUGAAUAUUAAAUCAAGUGGAGCAGUAGUUUUAUUACCCGUAGGUCACAAUGAUAAACACAAAGAUUUGUCAAGCGGACAAGCUUCACAUUUAACAAGAGAGCGUCUAGAAGUACACGUUAUUUUAUUUUUGAAAACUAACAAAUUAAAAAUACAGGAAGUAGGAUGACCCAAUCGAUGAUGUCAGAGAUCAGCAGUCACAAAGAUGCAAGGAGACCAAUAAGCUUGAGGAAUAGUGGUGGCAGAAGACUUAGAGAGAGCAUAUAGACCAUCAUUGCUUUGACUAGAAAGGAGCACUGCUUUGGUGGUGAGAUCCUUUACAUAAAACACAGAGGCGUGAAAUUCAAAAUAAACAUUAUUAUCACGAUAAAUUUUUUGAACAAAUAGCAAUAGUUUGGUAAUACGAGGAACAUGGAGAAUGUAAAGGUGUGUUUAGGGGAAUGUAACAUGGUAUGCCUAAUAUGGGAUAUGGAAUGACCCUUACCAUCACCAACAUGCAAGUGAUCAUUACCAAGAUAGGUUGCAAAAUCAGUUAGAGUUGCAAAAUCAAGUGUAACAUGUUGGUUCACACCAGUAUCCGGGAACCAAAUAGGGGCAGGAACAGAGCCAACAGCAAGAGGAGUAGAGGGCUGGUGGCCACUGCUGUGAAACUAAGCACAUUGUGGGGCGGUAUGUCUAAAAGAGAAGCACAUUAUGGGGCGGUAUGUCCAAAGGAGAAGCACAUCUGACACUUGAUGUUCUGCUCAAAAGGUCGGUGAGGAGGCCACUGCCCAAAACUAGCAGAGGAGUGAAAACCAUGAAAAUCAGACCUGUGCUGGCUGCUAUAUCGGCUGCUCUUGGGGUGCUAGUUGCCGCGAGAACGACCUCUGUUGCGAUUGAAAUUAGGGCUGUGCUAAUGCUGGGCAAGAUGAACAGAGGGCAGAGGAGAUGGUGUGGGCAACAGAGGUGGAUUUGCAGCCAUGGAUGGAAGGGAAGUCUUAUGCAGAAACUCAUGAGUAAAAAGAUGACUAUGAAGGUCAAGUAUGAUAGCAGUUCUGCCUUGGUCACAAUACUAGUUACCAAGUCUUUAAACUUACCACGAAGACCAUGAAAUAUGUAGAGGUUGAAGUCUUCAAGAGAAAGGGGUCAACUAAAAGCAACCAGUUCAUCAAAUAAUGACUUCGCGUGCUGCAUAUAUUGAGCAACUAAGGCAUCGCCUUGCCAAAGAUCUUGAAAAGACCCAUGGAGUUGUAUGAUACAAGAAUUCGACGAAGAAGCGAGCACUUUCUCAAGAGUGCACCAAACACAAAAAGAAGUCUAACAUUUUACCAUAAGGUGCAGUACAUCCAUGGAGAGAGAGGGGGUAACACACUUAAAAUAAGCUAAUCCUAUUGCUUCCAACAAAGAAAGGAGGGGUUGAUUGCCAAAGAGGAACCAUCAAAACUAUCAAAAACAUAAGAGGGAGGACACAACAUUGAGCCAUCGACAAAGUGGAAAACACCUUGACCAAAGAUAUGGCUUUAUCUGCAUUCGCCAAUAGAGAUAAUUGGUGUUUGUAAGCUUCAAUGAAACCACUUGCUGAGUGUUGGAUAAUGCAAUGAUAGAAGGAGUUGAUGUCCCCAUGAUGUGAAGAGGGAAAACAGAAACAUGGGAGAAGGAACCAUGGUGCUGCUCUGCAAGUGAGGGCUGCUACUGGUGUGAGAAAGAACCAUCAGCAACAACUUUUGAUUGGCUAGCUGGCUUGGCUGCACCGCUAGUAUGGUGGGGGGAGAGGGUGGCAGCAGGAGUAGAGUCUAUAAGGAGAGGGAAGAAAUAGUUGUGAUUGUAGAAGGCUCUGAUACCAAGUUGAGAAUAAUUAGGAGGCUUAACCUAUUGGUUAGCUAGCCUUUUCUAUAUAUAUGUGUACGACAAUAUACAAUAGUAAUGGUGGAGAUUACAAUUUAAGAGUAUACCAAUAAUAUUUCCUAUAUAGGUACAUUCUAUAAUACACAACUAGACCAUUAUCCCUUAAACCCUACUCCUCUUAACCCAUCUCAACCACCACCACCCAUUAAAUAAAAAAAACAACCAACCAUCAUUUUCUCUUUACCAAAUUAAAGAAAUAGACCCAUUUCCUCAUCUCUCUCGGUCUCCACGCUAUCAGCCAUCACGAACACUAACAGCUCCAACCAAUAACAACCACUUCCAAGACUCCCCGUCCACCAUAACACCACCGUCAAAAUCCAACACUAGCAGCCUUUAACCUCUUAUUCAUUUUAUUUUUCUCUAACACAAGUACAGCCAAAACCACCAAAAAAGGUAUUAACUCCUUAUGGCAACACCUAACGUCUUUCAUCUAUGAUAGCAGCAGCAACCACCUGAAGAAGUAAAGAAAAGGCAAACUGAGAUGAAGAAAGAAUGAGAGAAUGAGAUCUAAAAAAAGAAAUAAAAGUAAAAGUUAUUGUUUGUGUGUUUUUUUUCUUUGUCUUGCAGGUCAGGUGACACUCACUGUUGGCACAAGAUGAAAGAGAAGAAGAUUAUGCUUCAGAUCCACCUUGUUUUCCAUCUCUCCAGCAGCAGCAGCGCGUGGUUCCAUGCGUUGUUAGUGGAAAUGGCACCUUGAUACAAGUGUCGCCACUAUUCCUCCAACCCUAAAAUCUUCUAGCACUAUUCCCGAACUCCAACUUCUCCAAAUUAGUUUUGACCUUUGGAAGGCCUACUUUGCAAUUUUUUUAAAUUAUUGUUAGAAAUUUAAAUUUUUUGUGUUUUGUAAACAUGUGUAAUUUUUAGAUGUGCAAGUAAGAUAUAGUAAAAAAGAGAAUGUAUGUGUGUGUUGCAUUUGUUUUAUUAGUUAUUUUCAUUUUGUCAUAGAAAAGAUAAAAAGAUAAAAAAGAAUUCAUUUUUCCAAAUGUUUUAAUUGCAUACGAACAAGUCCCUCAAAAAUACAAAAAUCAUGUUUUUGCUUAAAAAGUAUAUACAUGUGUGUGUGUGUGUGUGUUUUAACAAGUUUUUACAAAAUAUAUAUUUCCGAGCAUUUUGAAUUUAAUAACUAGUUUACUAAAUUCAUGAGAAUUUGGCCAAUAUUUCAAUAACCUUUAAAAUUUUAAUUCAUGAGAAUUAAUGGUCAAUAUUGUGGUAUAAAUGUUGGACCUGCAAGUAGACUAAUAAUUAAAUAUCAAGAAUUGACUAGAAAAUUCUCAGAAUUAUUCUAAAUAUUCAUCAAUUUUAAUUGGAAGUAUUUUUCACCACAACGCACGAAUUAUGGAAAACCCUUCCGCUUUUUAGGAUAGAUGAACCCUGUUAGGGCACUUACACGAAUCAUUUCUAUAAGAAUUCAUUUGGGCACACGAGCCCAUAAUAAAUUCGAAACGCCAGAUUUAUUCACAUGAAUAAACCCUAUCCUAAAACAUAGACAAGAUAACGGUUAGGAACCCAUCAAAACCUUUAAACCAUAUUUAAACCACACAAUGCAACUUACCUCAGGUAGGGUGCCCGAGGGGUGCUAAUGUCUUCCUUAGCCACUACCAAUCCCUUACACUUAGAAUCUCUUAUAAGGCCAGUAUACUCAGGUUUUCUAGCAACCCUAAACCAAACUACUAGGUUGCAAUUCCUUGACCCCGACACAAUCAUAGCAUAGAGACUUAGUUGUGGCUUUCCCUUUAGUUAAUAACAAUAGGAAAAUAGGUUUUGAUCCCACUUCAUGGCUACACUUGAUGAGAUUAAGAUUUAUCGUUUUUAUGAUCUUGGGACGAUAUAUAUCUCAUAUUAUAUGCCUCAGAUUCCUCAGGACUUUCUAUGAAAGACCAUUUUCUUUCAGGGGUACCCUAAAGAGGACUUAAAGAUUUCAGUUGUAUAUAUCCGAUAGCAGAGCAGAAAAACAAAAGUCUCUCGGAUAGCACCCAAUUUGUGGCAGUUUCAUGUCAUCAAAAGUUCACCGAAAGGCGAUGCUUGCAAUCGUUAUGUUUCAGAAGCAAUAAUAUUCUUGUCUAUCCUUCUAGGCUAAGAUGAAAUAUGGUGGAGGUUAAAGCACAUCUUAUGUUUGAUGGGUCCCAUUUAUAAUGAAGGUUUGGGAAAGAUCAAGAAAAGGUAUAUACUCAGAGCAUUUCCCAUUGUUUCCCUUUUUCUGUAAAAGAUAUGUGUAAAUCAAUGCUUCAAAGGGAGGCGUCCCCUUCUCAUUUUCAUAGGAGAUAAGAUAUUUAUACUAGAUACACUUGUUCACAUAUGUAGCUCGGAUUGGGAAUCAUGCUUUUCCUUAACUCUUCAUCGACUAUCAGCUUAGUUAAAGAUUUGUGAAGGAAAUUUUGGUUAUAGAAUUCACAAAUGAUCCAAUCAUGGUCAUGAUCGCUGAUGUUCUUAGAUAUAUUGUAAAUUUCUACUUUUUUUCCUAAGCUAUUGUUUUACCUUGAACUCCGUUUAUUCUUUCUUAAUCCAAGACGCUCCCCAUGGCUCAUCAUUUUAUCCCUGUGCUCAGGACAAUUCCAAAAUGAGGUGAUAAUUCUAAACUCGAAAUUAUUCAGUGAAAUCACACCUUGAAGAGCUUAAAAGCAUUUGAACAGCAAAUUAAUUAUGUAUUUUUCGUAAACAGACUAUAUAUAUGGCCUACCACAUAUUUUCAUGUACUAGUAAGACAUGUUUUGGCCCAAGAAAAAGCAUGAUCACGCAAGACCAGAGUAGUAAUUCUACAUGUUGUUUUCCAAUUAAAAACCACUCAGUAGUUAUUGGAGCAUUGGAUCUCCAAAAAUUAGGCUCAUGAGUUAUUAUUUGGGUUAAUUUUGUUAUUUUUUCUUAAUUUUGCAGAUUUUAUGUUAUUUCCCGUUAUGUUUUGGGAUUUUGAUUUUGUUUCCAAUCUUGGUCCAUUUUUCUAGCCUAUAAUAGGGAUUGUAAACCUCUCUAGGAGGUAGACUUGAUCACAUAAUAUUUUAGAAAUAAAAUAAGGUUUUGGGAUUCUUUUGUGUUUUAACAUAUUUCAGUUUAUCUUCUGUCUUUGCAUGCUUGCAGCUAGUUGAAGUUAAGGGAGAAGGAGUAUUGGAAAAUAUUAUGGAGGCUGUGAUAUGUGAUUAGCAGCACUCCCCUUCUGUAAUAUAUAUAUAGAUGUAGGGUUGUACAUGAUACUAACCAUGUAGUCUAAUACACAUGAUCAGAAACCUAUAUAAGGUAAAUACAAGAUAAAUAUAUAUACAUAAUAACAUUCCAUAAUAUGCCCCCUCAAGCUGAAGGAGGAGAAUCCACAUGAAGCUUGGACCGAAAAUAAGUGAAGGACGCAUGAGGAAGAGGUUUGGUAAGCACAUCAGCAAGUUGAUCCUGGGAGGAGAUGAACCGAACUGCAAUUUCCUUUUUAGCAACGCGAUCACGAACAAAAUGAUAAUCGACCUCAACAUGCUUAGUGCGAGCAUGAAAGAUAGGAUUAACAGACAAGUAGGUAGCACCCAAAUUAUCACACCAAAGGAUAGUCAUAGGAUCAGAGGAAAAAUGAAGAUCUGACAGCAGAGCCCGAAUCCACAAAAUCUCAGCGGUACCAUCCGCAAGAGCCUUAUAUUCCGCUUCAGUCGAUGAACGAGCCACUGUGCGUUGUUUUCCAGAUUUCCAAGAAAUAGGGGUGCUGCCGAGAUAUACCACGUAGCCACCGGUGGAUUUUCUGUCAUCAAGACUACCAGCCCAAUCAGCAUCUGUAAAACCAUGUAAGGAAAGAGAGGACCCCCGAGUGAUGUGUAGACCAUAAGAUGCCGUUCCUUGAAGGUACCGGACAAUUCUUUUAACAAGAGACCAAUGACCAUCGGUAGGCGAGUGCAUAAACUGACAGACUUUAUUUACAGCAUAACAUAUAUCCGGGCGAGUAAAAGUGAGAUACUGCAAAGCACCAACAAUCUGUCGAUAACGGGUAGGAUCAGAGUAUAGAGUAUCUGAGGUUUGCAAUAGCUUAGAUGAGGAUGAAGCAGGCGUGUCAGCAGCUUUACACAAAGACAUACCGGCUCGCCUAAUGAUAUCGAGAGUAUAUUUAUGCUGUGAGAGCAUAAGUCCCAUGGCAGUUUUGGUGACUUCAAUCCCCAAGAAAUAAUGCACAGAGCCUAAAUCCCUGAUUUUGAAUUCGGAAUUCAGUAAGAUAAUCAAGUGGCAUAACAGAGUUGAAUUGUUCCCAGUAAGCAGAAUGUCAUCCACAUACACAAGCAAGUAAAUGAGAUCAUGGCCAUCAGAGUAAAUAAACAUAGAGGUGUCAGCAGUAGAGGCACGAAAACCAAGAGAAAUGAGAUAAUCACUGAGUCUGGUAUACCAUGCCCGGGGAGCCUGUUUUAAACCAUAGAUAGAUUUAUGCAGGUGACAAACAUGAGAUGACAGAGUAGGGUGAGAAAAACUAGGUGGUUGCUCCAUAUACACCUCUUCUUGAAGAAUCCCAUUCAAGAACGCAUUGUGAACAUCAAGCUGAUGAAUAAACCACCCACGGGUCACAGCAAUAGUAAGUACUAACCUCACAGUCGCAGGCUUAACAACUGGACUGAAAGUCUCAAGGUAGUCUAUUCCUUCUUGUUGAGUGAACCCUCUAGCCACAAGACGGGCUUUAUACCUGUCAAUACUACCAUCCGCUCGCCGCUUGAUUUUAUAAACCCAGCGACUGCCAACAACAUUCAUAGAGGAACAAUAAGGAACUAGAGUCCACGUACCAUUUGAUUGCAAAGCCCGAAGCUCAUCUUGCAUAGCUUGCUGCCAUGCCGAAUGUUGAGAGGCGUCUUUGAACGUGAGAGGUUCAUGUUCAGGAGAAGAAGAACUCACGGUAGCAGGGGACUGAACAGGACAUAUAUUAGCAGAUGACGGAGAUACACUAAGAUGCGCCUGUUUGGGCCGGCGAGGACGAAGUGUCAUGUGGUGGCUGCGAGAGGAGUCAGCUGGCAAAGUUGAGGAACUAUGAGAAACCUGCUGAAGAUCAAAAUUAGAUAAAUCAACUACCAGAGGCAGGGCAGGAGGAGAGCCAGAGGAAGAGCUCGAUGUGGGACUGCCAGGAGGCCGAGAGGAAACCACAAUAGGAGAGGAGGCCGCUGACAAUGGGAUCACCGUACCUGGAGAAACAGACACCAUACUUGGAGAGUGAUCAGUAGUAGAGUAAGGUGGAGAUGAAGUAGAGGGACUGUUACUCAUGGGACAAGGUGGAGGAGAGGAGGCAACAGCCCUGUGAGCAAGCGUUGGAGAAGGUGGCAGAAAUAGGGUAGAUGGAGAAGGCAUGGGAGUAGGAAAAACGGUGAAGGCGGGGAGGGCUGUUUGUAGAGAUGGAGAAGGCAAGGCAGUUGUCUGUUCAGAACAUGCAAAAGGAAAUGUAUUUUCAUGAAAUUUAACAUGUCGUGCAAUAUACAUACGAGAUGAUGACAAAUCAAAACAACGAUAACCCAAAUGAGAGGAACUAUAGCCAAGAAAAACACAUGGUGAAGAGCGAAAAUCUAGUUUAUGUCGGUUAUAAGGACGAAGUAAAGGAAAACAUAGACACCCAAAAAUACGAAGAAAAUUGUAAUCAGGGGAAGAUUUAAACAAACGUUCAAAAGGUGUACAACCAUUUAGAACAGCAGUAGGCAUACGAUUUAUGAGAUAGACAGCUGUUUCAAAAGCAUAACUCCAAAAUUUUAACGGAGCCUUACACUGACCAAGAAGCGUAAGACCAGUUUCAACAAUAUGACGAUGACGACGCUCAACAGUACCAUUUUGUUCAUGCAUGUGAGGACAUAUUAGACGGUGAUGAAUGCCAAUGGUUUUAAAAUAUGUGUUUAACUUCCUAUAUUCACCACCCCAAUCUGUUUGGACGGAUUUAAUUUUGGUGGUGAAUUGUCGUUCAACAAGAGCUUGAAAUUGAAGAAAAAUUUUAAACACAUCAGACUUAGCGGCUAAAGGAAAAAACCAGAUAUACUUAGUAUAAGCAUCCACAAAAAUCACAAAAUACCGAUAACCAUCAGUAGAUAACAUAGGAGAAGGUCCCCAAACAUCACUGAAAACAAGCUCAAGAGGAGCACAAGUUUUAUGACCAGUAAGGCCUAACGACAGACGCGAUGCUUUUCCUAAAGGACAAGAUGAACAAUUAAAAUUAAAAACUCUUGAAGUACAUGCAACUUUAUUAUUUGAUACUAGAGACCCUAAAAUACGAGAGCUAGGAUGCCCAAGGCGACGAUGCCAAACAUCAGCAGUGGAGGACACAGACGUUGAUAGGAAAGCUUGAGGUACGGACGUUGCAGAAGACUUGGAUAAGACAUAUAGACCAUCGCUACUCUGACCGGAAAGGAGCACCUCCUUGGUUAUUAGAUCCUUAACAUAAAACACAGAUGAAUGAAAUUCAAAAAAUACAUUAUUCUCAAUGCAAAAUUUCUGAACAGACAAUAGCGGUUUUUUAAUAUGUGGUACAUGCAGAACAUUUGAUAGGAUAAAAGUGCGUUUAGGAGUAUAGAGUUUAGAUUGAGCAAUAUGUGAUAUAACCAGUCCCUUACCAUCACCGACAUGUAAUUGAUCACUGCCAAGAUAUGGCUUUGAACUCGUCAUACUAGCGAGGUCCGGUGUCACAUGCUGAUUAGCACCCGUAUCAGGAAACCAACCUGCAGAGGAGAGCUGAGGAUUCUGAAAUGCCAAGUUAGCAGUAGCCUGCAAAUGCUGUGAGGUAAAUUGAGAACAGUAUUUGGCUGAAUGCCCAAAACCAUAACACAAUUGACAUUUAACAUUUCGAAAAAUUUGGUUGGAGUUAGAAACUCCACGGGAAUACUGCUGCCAACCAGUCCCAGACUCACGGGAACCAUGAUGAAAACUAGACCCAGACAUCUGCUGCCAACCAGAUCCAGAGGUGCCAUGGUUACCACCACGGUAGCCUCUCCAUCCACCUCGAUGGCGCCCACGCCCACGAUAGGAAUGGCCAGAAGGACCACCAAAACUACCACGCUGAACUGAGAAUACUGAAGCUGUGGAAUGUGAAGGUGUGGGCAGCAGAGGUGCUGUCAUAGGAGAGCCAAGAGUGGAUUGAAGGGAGCUCUUAUUCAGGUAUUCGUGAGUGAGCAGGUAACUGUGAAGAUCAGAGUAUGAUAAGGGUUCUGCUCGUGUAGACAAACUGGUCACUAAGUCUUUGAAAUCACUGCGCAAACCCCGAAAUACAUAAAGAUUAAAAUCCUCUAAGGAGAGAGGCCGACCAGCAGCAGCCAACUCAUCAAAGAGAACCUUAGCUCGCUGCAGAUAAGUGCUAACUGAAUCAUCUCCCUGACGCAAAUCCUGAAAGGAACCAUGUAACUGCAUAAUCCUUGAAUGUGACGGUGAAGCAAAGGAUUUUUCAAGUGUCUGCCAUAUGCUAUGAGAUGUGUCACAGUCAACCACAAGAUGUAGAAUUUCAGUAGAUAAAGAAGAGAGGAGUGCACUCAUAAUUAACUGGUCUUGUUGCUUCCAUGAGAGAAAGAAUGGGUUUAUACCAGGAGCUGCUGUAUCGGUGGCAGUAACAUAGGGUGCAGGACAAGGAUAAGAUCCAUCAACAAAAGCAUACACACCCUGACCCAACAAAUAUGGUUUUAUUUGCAUUCUCCAGUACAAAUAGUUAUUGGUGGUCAGUUUCAAGGAGAUAACCUGAUGAGUAUUUGAGAGAGGGACUACAGCAGCACCAUGAAGAUGUGUGUUGGGAACAAUUGAUGCUGCAGAGGGGAGUCCUGGCAGUACCGAAACAAUUGGUGUAGAGGAAGGUAUUGCUGCCAUUGUUAGAGGAAAGCUGCAACCAAUAGAAGGAAUAGAUGCAGACGCAAAAAAUCCAGGAGGAGCCAUUGAAAAACCUGACGCAGGUUGCAUAAGUGAAGAAUUGGCAGGGAGAACAGGGAAUGCUGCAGCUGGCAUGUUUGUUGUAAGAAGAGAGGAAGAUUGAGCUGUAGUAGAAUCCAUGAGAAGAAGAGGGAGGCGCCGAUGGAAGCUCUUUUGAAUAUAAUGCUCUGAUACCAAGUUGAAGUUAAGGGAGAAGGAGUAUUGGAAAAUAUUAUGGAGGCUGUGAUAUGUGAUUAGCAGCACUCCCCUUCUGUAAUAUAUAUAUAGAUGUAGGGUUGUACAUGAUACUAACCAUGUAGUCUAAUACACAUGAUCAGAAACCUAUAUAAGGUAAAUACAAGAUAAAUAUAUAUACAUAAUAACAUUCCAUAAUACAGCUAUAUUGUUGUGCUUCCCACUGCAUUAAUCUUUCAAUAUUUCAUGCUAAGUAAUAGGUGAAUAAAGUGAUAAUCAGGGAAGCAGAGAGAUAUUUAUGACAAUGCAUGCUUGACCAGCCAAAUAGAAAAUUAUGAUAUAUAAAUCACAGAAAUUUUAUUUGAAGUAAGAAAAAGCUCCUGACUCGAGUUCUAGCAACCUCUCCUCGUCUACGUUUAGCAGAGGGAGAAUAUCGUACAGGACUAAAGGUAACACAACUGGAGGAGGUUAUGCAUACAAGAAAGCUAACUGAUUAAUCGCUAGGUCUUUAAAACGGAACUGGUUUCCCCUUAGGAUAAUCGACAUAAACCCUCCCCUUGUAGCGUUGAGCUGCCUCGUUGCUGUCGAUAACUUCUGUUGCAUAGUAAUAUGUGGGAUGAGUAUAGGGAACCUUCAUAACUGGUGGCCGCCUCUUGGCCCGGCCGAAGUGCUCAUCAAUGGCUGCAAAACCCUCCUGUCCAAUCUUAACAAGACGAUCUGCCUGACGUGCCAUGUUAACUACAAUUAAUCAACACACAAAGACAAGUAGAUGUAUAUAGGUUUUCUUGGUUUUCUUGCUUUGACUAAUAUGUAGGAGGCCAAGCCAACCUUUAUAUAGAAAGGAAAGGUUUGGUUGACAACAGCUGUGAAAUGAAUAAUGUUAGACAGUACUCCUUUUUGUAAUAAAAGCACCCAACAUUUGUGUACGAUAAUACUAACCAUUGCAGAGAGAAAAAUCAAUAGAUUUUCUUCAUCUUAUCACUACUGACGAUAAAACCACAAUAAAAUGAAAAAAAAAAUCAUCAAAAGUUUAUCAAUAUCUUAAAAUACAAAAAAAAAUAAAACUAUUAUAUUUGGAUGUUUUCAAUACUUAAUAAAUUUUAUAUAUAAGAAAAUUUUACUGGUUUUUUUUGUCGUCCGAUGACCAUCGAGGACAAAACCAUCACCAAGAGUUUAUUAUUAUCGACUUUGGAUUAGAAUUGAAUGUUCUAAAUACUUUGUAAAUUGAAAAAUAAGGAACGCAAACAUUGCUUAUGAACAACUGUUGUCAGCCAAUCAUUAGAGCCACUUUUAUGAAUUUGUGCUGGGCAUGUGAUUAAAGAAAACAAAAGCUUCCCUUCUUUUUUUUUUUUUUGAAAGAUGUGUAUAUUAUUUAAACGCCAAAGCCUGGCGGGAGUAGUACAGAAACUACACAAUAUCUUACUAUGGCAAAAAAUCAUAAAUAGGAUAAAGCGCAGAAUAAGAAAAACAAAAGCAAAGAAAAACAAAAGCUUCCCUUCUUUUGGACUAAUGCUGUUUCUACCGGUCAGGAAUCAAGUCAGGUCCAAAAGUAGGAGCAGCAAAAACACUAAAUCUUCGCAAAAGCCAAUUAUGAAAGAAGAUUCCUUCUGCUCUCUAAUCAGAAUAAUCUCAUUUUAAUUAUGUUACGAUAUUGCAGUUUCUAAUUAAUGGCAAUAAGCACAAUCGUACGCUAGUAUUAUCUGACCUUGAUCUCGGCAUUGGAUAACCUCCAAGCAAUGUUUGUUCAAGAACAGCAAGCAACUGUUGUCUCGGAACCUCAUAUGUAAACAAAAGGGAAACUUAAACCAAAUGAAAGUCCUUAACAGAAUUACCGAAUCCCAGUCCAAUUACAGGUGAAACAAAUUAAAAGGCAAUUUGUAGGAAAAACUCAAUGAUCUCUGAGCCAAGCCCCCGCACGGUAUUCCAAGCUUAUUUUACAGAAUAUUAACUCACCCUAGUUUUUUAUUUCUUCCAAAAAACUAUAAAAGAAUAGAAUUAUGGUCUUAAUGAGCACAAAUGGCAAACAAAUGGCCUUCAGUACAUUUCAAUAACGAUUCAGUACUUAGUGGCACAGAGGUUCUCUCUAGUGCCAAGUUCAAUUAUUGUAAAAUUGAUUCCUUCCAACUUGUUUCCUAGAAUCGAUGAGACUUAAAUUUCUUUGUGAAUCUGAUUCCUUAUAACUAAACUUUUCCUUUCCAAUUUAUUUUCAUAAUCUUUUUUUUUUUCCUUUAACUGAUCUUGAUUCUCUCCGAAACUUUAUAUCUUUAUUUCUUACUCUAGUUAACUUCAUGACAUAAUCAAUGUGACGCAACCUGACCACCUCAUCCCAACAAAAAAUCUAUUGACAUCUCAAAUCCGAGUAACCAAGUUGCUUGCAUUAAACAUUUUGGUUUAAUAGAGAGUGGAAUUUUGGUCAAAAAGUUGCCUCAGAUUCUAUUCUUUGACAUAGACAAAUUGACCAUAUAAUAAUCAUAAAUAUAACUGUGUAUGAAAAAUAAUAAUAAUAAUAAUAGCAAAAACAAUAACAAUAAUAAUAAUUUUAGGAAGUAUUUUUUCAACCAACAAAACUUAAACAAAAAAGAAUCUAGUGCACUAAGUCCACACAAGUCUAAGCCUAGGAAGGAUAUGAGAGAAGUAGUUUAUAUACUGAAAAUAAAAAUCUAGAGGGAUAGAUCUAGAAAGUUGCUUUAAUUGUCUCAAUCUACGUAUAUAGAAAAAAUAUUGAAACAAUUUAGCAGUUUUAUCUUUUUGUGGGUUGUUGUUACUAUCUUGCUCGGGGUUUUAGCUAGAACUAGGUGUUGUUGUUGAUGAUUUCAAGAUUGUUAUGUGGUGGUUUUGUUUUUAGGUGUUGAAGAUUGAUUUCUAAGGAGCCUAUGGCUAGUUCUAGCCAAUGGUAAAGACCAGUCUAGGUCUCCAUCAUAUCAUUCAUUCUCUUCCAUUUUUUUGGCAAAUCAAAGUAGGACUAAGAAGUGGGUGAUGUUUCAAGAUUGAGAUUUUAGAUUAACCGAGUUUAAGGCAAUAUUUUGGUUCUUUUGGUAAAUGGGAUCGCCAGAUUGGGAUCUCAAGUUGACCAAGCUAAAGACAAAGACCAAGGUUCUGGUUAAAUGGGGUCUCUAAAUUGAGAUUUUAGGUUAACCGAGGUGAAGGCAACAUUUUGAUUUUGGUUAAAGGGAAUUGCUUGAUUAAAAGGAGUCACUAGAUUGAGAUUUCAGGUUAACCAAACUGAAGGAAACAUUUUGGUUCUCGUUAAAUAGGAUUGUCGGAUUGGGAUCUCAGGUUGAUUGAGCUAAAGACAAAGACCAAGGUUUUAGUUAAAAGGGAUCUCUAGAUUGAGAUUUUAGGUUAACCGAGCUUAAGGCAAUAUUUUGGUUAUGAUUAACAAGAAUUGUCAGAUUAGGAUUUCAAGUUGGUUGAGCUGAAGAAAAAGACCAAGGUUCCAGGUUAACCAAGUUGAAGAUGAUAUUUUGAUUCUAGUUAAAGGGAAUCGCCACAUUGGGAUUUUAGGUUAGUCGAGCUAAAGAAAAAGACUAAGGUUGUGGUUAAAAGGGGUCUUUUGAUUGAGAUUUCAGGUUAACCAAGUUGAAGGUGACAUUUUGGUUCUAGUUAAAGGGAAUAAUGGCCAGAUUGGGAUCUCAAGUUGACCGAGCUAAAGACAGAGACCACAGAUCCAAGUUUUAUCCACACCGUCAGCCACAGCAGCCAGCACACGGCAGCCCACAAAUCCACGCCAUUUCCUUCAGCCACCAAUUGCAGCGGCCAAAGCAACAACUUGAAUCCAGCGUCGCCGCCGCCUAACUGUCGGCCACCUGAAGCAAAGGAGAAGAAGAUGUAAACCAAAGAAAGAUCUGCGGUGAAGCAGAUCUGAAAAGGAGAAGACCGAAACAAAUCCGAAAAAGAAAGAAAAAUUAAAAUCAACUGGUUUGGGUGUUUUAUUAUUUUGCAGGUGAUGAAGACCCUAACCUCCGGCAGGGAAGUGAAGAGGGGAGGAAGACGCAGCAGCGCCCCCUGCUGCCUAGAAUUUCUCGCGGCGGCGCACUGUUCAACUGUUCAGGAACCUUCUUCAGCACUACAUGCAGUUCCAGAAAGCUUCCCAGCACUGUUAUGGACUUGUUUUGUGGCUAUUUUUGUAAUUUCAAAUUAUUUAAUGUAAUUUUUGUUUAGUUUUGAAUUUUUGUAAUAUAGAUGUGAAAAAGAACAAAAAGAAAAAGAAAAGAAAAAAUAUAGUGAAAGUGAAUGUGUUUGUUUGUAAUUUUGUUUUUUAUGAAUGUAUUUUUUUUAUGAUAAAAUUGCAAAGAAUAAAGAAGAAUUUAAUAUUUUGAUUUGAUCACGGUCAAGAAUUAUGAACUUACAUGUAAGUCGUAUUUCUAAUACCCGAUGAAAGAACAAAAUUUUUAAAACUUCUUUAUCACAUCAAAGCCACGAAGCAGCUUACCUAAGGUAGGGUGCGUUAGGGGUGCUAAUACCUUCCCUAACCACAACCAGUCCCUUACCCGUGAAUCUCUGACAAGACUAGUACACCCGGGUUUCCUAGUUACCCUCAAUUAAAUACUAGGUGGCGACUCCCAAUGAACCAAUCAAGCAAACGCAUAACAAAAAAAUCACCAUCGGACGCCGCGCGGGUCACGUGCGACAGAAUGGUGACUCCACUGGGGAAGGUAUUGUUUCUAACAAUAUUGGACUAUGCUUUGUGUAUUUGAUGUGUUUAAGUUUUUGUAGUUUUGUCAUGUUUUAUUUUUGUUUUAUCCAUGCAUUUUUAGAAUUGUUUCAUGCAUCACUUGUAUUUAUUUUUGAAAGCACACACAAGCUUUUAUGUUAGGUGGUGAAUUAGCGGUCUGCCCUAUGACUAUUGGUCAGGGUUCAGAUCCGUGAAAAACCAACUCAUAUCUGAAUGCCUGCUUGGUAAUGGUGGGUAUACGUGCCUUAACUAUUUCUUGCAACGCCCCUAUACUGUCUUUACGAAGAUCGUCAUUGGGCAGAUAUGAGACCCUUUUGAGACCAGGUAGAAAACCUACCCAUGUUCACAUAAUGAAUAGAAUUUGUUCUUAGGUUGUAUGUGCUAUUUUUAUUUGCAUCAGGGCAAACCCUUCUUGAAGCAUCUUGAAUCAAGACUUGUGGGUGACACAAGAACCGUCACUCAGAAAAUUUUCAUUGUAGAGUUUGGGCAAGAAUCAAGAUUCUUGUUUCAUCAUACAAGAGUUACGACCAUAUGUCACCCCUCGAAGGGCGAGUUCAUCAUAUAGUUUACAUGUUCAUACAUUUAUCAUGCAUGUACCGGGUUGAAAGAUAGGUUCCCCCACACAAGCUGUGCUACACGUGAUUGAAAAAAGAUGAUGGAAAUGAAGAAAGAUGUCAGAUAGAGGCUCAUUAUCAAAAUAAAGUUGAGAGCAUCAAAGGUGAAGUAGCUAGACUCAGAUCUGCUUGAACAAGUGUUGAGCAUCAAAUGGAAAUGGAAUGUCUGUACAGUCUUCUGUGGGAACACUGCUUGUCCAGUCCAAUUAAAGCUGCACCUCUCCUUUUCAGUAAUGAACAACAGCAGCAAUGCCUUCAGUCAUCAGCUAAUGACAACCUUUGUUCUUGUUUAGUUGCACUAUUAAUUGUUCAUCGCCUUCACAUCUUCUAAUGGCACCAAAUAAUUGUUAGCCUUCGGUGCAUGGUGCAUUAGUCUUCUUUGAAGUUACCCACUUUGAUCUCAAUUCCAGUUCAGCGGCACAAGAUGCUGGUCUUAAAAAAAAAAACAUGAUUAUACACUGAACUUCUAUGUGGCAGAGCUCUCUCUGUAGAGAUUUGUUUUUUUUAAUCUGCCAGUAGGGAAUGCAAGAGAGGAUGUAGUAGUUUCAUAUGCAUUGAAACUUUCUCCCACUAAUGGCACCAGCAAAACAUUGUAGUAGGCAGAAGAGCCGGACCCGGUCUGAAAAACAUGAGCAGACAUCAAAUUUCCACGUGGCAGAGCUUUUGUACAGAAAUUUGUUUGUGGAUCUGUAAGUGGAGAAUCCAAGAAGGGAUGCAAUAGUUUCAAAUCAUCUACAAUUUUCUCCUACCAGUGUUAGAAUCAAAACACAAAAGUAGGGAGAAGAGACAAACCUAAACUGAAAGACAAGAAGAAGACUGAAACUGCAAUAGAGGAGAACUCCCUCUACAGGUGUCUGUUUGUUGCACUGUCUGUGAGCAAUCGAAGAUGAGACAGAAGAGUUUUAGAUUCAUCAAGUUCUCUUCCAGUUGAGACAACGCGUGAUUUCGCACGUCGACAGUGGUGGUACUGCAAGUUUUUGUGCGCUGCCAAGAUUACCUAGCUAUUGAAAGGUUUUCAACAAUCCUAAAACAACAACAACAACAUUGGAAGAAUGACAUGAAGUUGUGUGGAUUGCAAAAAAAUUGAACAAGCUAUCAAAAUGGGAAAGAUUGAAGGUUCUGCCAAGGAUUCCAAAACAAUGAUAAGAGAUGAAUGAAAAGAAGACUUUGACAGUGGGAAACCUUAAUUAUAUGGUCUAGCCAAGUCUCGUUGUAUCAUCGACUACUCCAAUGUCUUUGCAAAAGAUAGACAUUCCUUUGCAAUGUGGUGUAAUCCAGACAAGAGAUGUGAUGUCAUGGUGGGGUCCUCAGCCAUUUCAAUUGAACAGUUGCAAGAAUUUCAAGAAGCGAGUCCGGAAGUUGGUGAGCAAGAGACGAGUAGAUUAUGUGAAGGAGGGCAUUAUUGGCUAUAUUGUCCCCCGAACAUCUUCAAAAUGACAUGUGAUCGAAAAUGCUUGGCAAAAAACAGAUAUUACAAAGCUGAUUCAAGAAUGGCGAUGAAUUGUCAAUCAUAUUGUUAUGGAAUUUUGCAUUUUGUUUUGGGAUCACAUCUCAUCCUUGAACGAAACAUGUCUUUUCUUUGGCUUCCUGUUGUUUUGAAAUCAAGAGAUGCUUCUUUCAAAGGGUAUUUUGACAAAAUAUUUUGAUCAAACUCCAACAUGCAAAAUUAAGGCUAGUCAAUCCUAAAAGAUUAAAAGUAUUUGGAUUGCAGAAAUGACUCGAUAUUUGUUAAAAUGGCAAGAUAAACAACAUGAGGUGACCAAACAAAUUUUGAGCUCACACAUGAAAUUGAACCACCCACAAUGUAGCUAAAUUUUAGCAGUAUGCAUAAUGACAUGUAGUGGAUUCGGUAGUUAUGAACUCGCGAAUCAUGAUUCUUACAAGUCCAAAUCAUUACACUGGAUGAGGUCAAAAUUUAUCAGUUCUAACAGACCUUGCUUGAAAUGAGAAAAGGCCAUCUUUGUUCAUCCCUUCGCUUUCUAAAAAUAUUUAUCCCUUGCAAUCCCCAUUUGAGCAUGAUAGAAUAUUUCUUUUCAAAAAAACCCCUGACUAGGAUCACACCCCACAGUGGGGGCAGAUGAGAGAUAUUUUAGAGACAUUGAUAUAAUUAAUGGAUAAAGGGGAAGGCUUAGAACAAAAGUCCAAUGAUUGAGAGAGGGCUAAGAGAAAACACAUAGACUGGGGGCAUAUAAGAAAAUUUUAAGGAAGGCUAUGAGAAAGCAAAGAAAAAAAAAGAGAUUAAAAAAAAAGUUGAAUUUGCCUUCACUUAAAGACAAGUCAAAGAUAAAGGAAGGAGAAUGCCUAUCAAGUUUAUGAAGAGCAAAAAAAAAGAAAUAUCAAUCGAGGAAAGGCACAACAAAAGUCAAUAGCAGAAAAAAGACUAAACUAUAAACGUGACUUUUGGUAUCCAUUAUCAAGCCUCUAAUGUUAUCAGAUGAUUGAGGUUGGUUAUUCAUCAAAGAAAGGUGGAUUUGCAUUAUGACUUAUGUUAAGAGAAAUCUGAUCUUUGAGGUUAACAAAGUUAUAUGCCAUUUCCUCUACAGAGACAACAAUAGAAAAAGAGUUGAUGAAUAGUUGAUGUUGAUCCUAGGUCUUUGAAACCCUUAAACACCUUUUGAGCCUGUGAAAUUCCUUUCUUUCAUAGCCAUGAACCAUAGCCUGCAUUACGUGUUUUUUUAAAAGCUAUUUUUAAUUAAGCAAACAAUUUGAAUUGAUAAAUGGCUCUCUCACAACUUGAAGAGCCUUUCCAUAAGGGUCGUGACAUCAUGAAUUAAGCUAUUGGUUAUUAUGCAUGCUGAUAAAAUAAGUGCGAAGCAGAGAAACAACCUUUCUUGAUAAAGCCUGAGUUUUGACUUUAACAUCUUGUUUUUUUUUAAUUCACAAAAAAGGUCACCUCAUCACAGACCCUCAAAAGAUAUACCCAAAAUCAGAGUCUAAAAUGGAUACAAAGAACCAUGAAAAAAAGAAGAAGAAGAAGAAGAAAAAAGCCAUUUUAGUCUUACAACGGGUCAAUUUCUAUUUUCAAAAUACAUGACAAUCAAAAGACUGUAUAUAUCGAAUAACGUGUGUUAGGUCUUUGAUAAAAAAGCUUGAUUUUCAAAAGGUCUUUUCAAAAAAAGACAUCUCUGAUUUCAUUUCAACAAACUAUACUUUGAAUAGACAUGAUCUUCGAAAUAUGAGAGUUGAUUCCAAAACAAGGAAGAUUAUCGGACACAAAAGAACAUCGAUUGAGUCUGCGAAAUCCUUGAUAGAAAUGACAUUGAAGUCCUCGACACUGCUUGAAAAGUUGAGCAGCUGGGGGGCAAUACAGUGGACCCGGAGAAGGAAGAACAAGCAGUAUUCAAACCAGCUAUGAGGCAAUGAAAGAUGAUUAAAUGAUGAAUCAGUAAACUGAAGAAAAUGGUAUUCAAAAUCAAUGAACAAGCACAUUUAGAUCAUACUUGGGGCAACGUUGUUCAAAGAUAGUCCAUGAUCUAGUGGCCCCCGACAACAAUCGAGAAAACAAAGAUGUACUUGAAGGACAUCUUCAUAUUGUCAUCUUUUGAAACAUGGCUAUCGACCGAUGUGGGCAUACAGUUGCAUUUGAAUGAAUAUCGAAAAGAUGCACACCACCAAGACUGACUGUGGAACAAUGUUGUACUUGAAGGACAAUCUCAUAUUGUCAUCCUUUGAAACAUGGUUAUCGACAGAUGUUAUCACACAACUGUAUUGAAUGAAUGUCGGAAAGACACGCACCCCGAAGACUGAUUGUGGGACAAUUUGUUUUGAAGCCAAAUAAGCACUUCACCGCAUGAGUAUGGGUGAUAAAAGCAACAUCAUUGAUGAGGCCUAGACAUUUCUUUUCACAAUUUAAUUAGAAGAACUGAGAUGAAUCUAUUGAGAAGAACACUAAGCAUACAACCAUGAGCCUUUGUACUGCAAGCUAUGAGAUGCAUGUUUGGAUGAUUGUAUAGUUUCCAAGAAGACUGAUGAUAACAUAUACUUGAAGAGUAUUGUUUCAACUGGGAGCAAGUCCAUGACUGAUUGACAAUCUAAAAUGAGGUUAAACACUAGAAAACCUCUUGAGAGGUGUUGGCAAAACACACACACCAAAUCAAAUGACAAUUCUUGAGAGAAUCUAGGAGAUGGAUGAUUUGUUCAACUCCUUCAGGAUGAAUCGAGCAACACCACACUUGGAAGCAUGGUCAAGCUUGAGAACAACCGAGAGCAAUAAUAGUCGUGGACAGCCCAAGAUGGGCACGGCACUUACAUCUGAGUGGAAGGCUAGCACACAAAUGAGCAAGUACAUGGGAAGAGCAAAGAAGGCUUCGGUUAGCAAACAAAGGCACCUUAUGACGACGGAACAUCAAAGAGGGGGGACCUAUAUUUCAAAUCAGGUAAGGAUGCAUGCAUUGCACACAUAUGUUUAUUUGUUACAAUAAAAUCCAAAAAAAAAAGUCCAGCAAGAUUAGAAAAUAAAAAGGAAAAAAGAGAGAGAGAAAAAAAAGAAUCAUUGAGUUGAUAAUAAAAGAGAAUCAUUGUUGUGACCCUGGAACGGAAAGAAAAGUGAGAAGAACCCUACCAUUAGGAAAUUUUCAAAAAAAAAAAGAGAAAAAAAAGAAGAAAAAAAAACCAAUGUGAGUGUGAGGGUAGGUCGCUCAUGAAAAUAGACCAUGUGAGUGUGUGGGCCGGUCGCCCAUGAAAAUAGACCAGGAUGAACAUGUGUGGGCAGGUCGCCCUUGAAAAUAGACCAAUGUGAGUGUGUGGGCCGGUCGCCCCUGAAAAUAGACCACGAUGAACAUGUGUGGGCAGGUCGCCCCUGAAAAUAGACCACGAUGAACAUGUGUGGGCAGGUCGCCCAUGAAAAUAGACCAGUGUGAGUGUGUGGGCUGGUCACCCCUGAAAAUAGACCACGAUGAACAUGUGUGGGCAGGUCACCCUGAAAAUAGACCACGAUGAACAUGUGUGGGCAGGUCGCCCCUGAAAAUAGACCAGGAUGAAGUGUGGGCCGGUCGCCCCUGAAAAUAGACCAGGAUGAGCAUGUGCGGGCAGGUCGCCCCUGAAAAUAGACCAGUGUAUGGGUCGAUCGCCCCUGAAAAUAGACCACAAUGAGCAUGUGUGGGCAGGUUGCCCCUGAAAAUAGACCAGUGUGUGGGCCGGUCGCCCCUGAAAAUAGACUAGGAUGAGCAUGUGUGGGCAGGUCGCCCUUGAGAAUAAACCAGCGUGAGUAUGUGGGCCGGUCGCCCCUGAAAAUAGACCACGAUGAACAUGUGUGGGCAGGUCACCCAUGAAAAUAGACUUGUGUGAGUGUGUGGGCCGGUCGCCCCUGAAAAUAGACCAGGAUGAUCAUGUGGGGGCAGGUCGCCCGUGAAAAUAGACCACUGUGAGUUUGAGGGCAGGUCGCCCAUGAAAAUAGACCGUGCGAGUGUGUGGGCCGGUCGCCCAUGAAAAUAGACCAAUGUGACUGUGUGGGCAGGUCGCCCGUAAAAAUAGACCAGUGAGUGUGUGGGUAGGUCGCCCGUGAAAGGAGACCAAUUUUCUUUAAAAGGGGUAGGUCACCGAAGAUAAUAACAUCAUUUUUCUUUUUCUUUUUCUUUACAAGCUUACUAUGCAAGACAUUGAUGAUGUUUUUGCUUCGUAAGCAUUGUAAAGAGGGGGCAUCUGUUGCUACCCAAUUUUUGACCCAUGUUUUGAUAAAUUUUCAGAAAAAUCCAAAAAAAUAUGUUUUUUUAAUAUAUUUGCAUCGUUUUAUUUUUAAAAUCACUGAUUUUCCUCAUUCGAGGCGAUGUUGAUAACAAAAUCCAAAAAAAACAAGAAAAAUCAAAUUUACAAAAAAAAAGAAAGUUGAGGGAUCAAUUUUGAGGCCCAAGCAAUAUUUUUACCUAUAAAUACUGGUCUCCACAACACACAAAAGGAGGAGGGGGGUAAUUUUACACAUUGAGAGAAACAAGAAACCCUAACCCUAAACCUAAACCUAUCUUUACCCAAACGGCAGCGGUCCCCACUUGGCAAAACAAAAGAGCAGCCGCCGCCCCCUGCUGGUUUUUGAUUUUUUCUUCUUCCUUGGCCGCUCCCCUCCUGGUCAUCUUCAUCUUCCCCGCACAAGCCUUCCUUUCCCCUUCUCAACACAAGCCACCGCUCACGCCCCUCACCCAAAAGCAAAUCAGAAUCGGCCGAAAGAGACCAGCCCCCCAGCCAGCCGAUCUCCCCCAUUUCCUUCCACUAUUGCUGCAGACCUGCAACCCCAGAACAAAUUUGCCUCCCUUUCCCCCCGACCUUUUCCUUCAUUUCCUCCUCCCAUCAGUGCCGCCCACACCGGCAGCCACAGCAGCCAGCACACGGCAGCCCACAGAUCCACGCCAUUUCCUUCAGCCACCAAUUGCAACAACCUGAAUCCAGCGCCGUCGCCGCCCAACUGUCGGCCACCUGAAGCGAAGGAGAAGAAGAUGUAAACCAAAGAAAGAUCUGCGGUGAAGCAGAUCUGAAAAGGAGAAAACCGAAAUAGAUCUGAAAAAGAAAGAAAAAUUAAAAUCAACUGGUUUGGGUGUUUUAUUCUUUUGCAGUUGAUGAAGACCCUAACCGCCGGUAGGGAAGUGAAGAGGGGAGGAAGCCGCAGCAGCGCCCCCUACUGCCUGGAAUUUCUCGCGGCGGCGCGUGAGCCCACGCACCGCCAGUGGCGGUUGCGCACUGUUCAACUGUUCAGGAACCUUCUUCAGCACUGCAUGUAGUUCUAGAAAGCUUCCCAGCACUGUUAUGGACUUGUUUUGGGGCUAUUUUUGUAAUUUCAAAUUAUUUAAUGUAAUUUUUGUUUAGUUUUGAAUUUUUGUAAUAUAGAUGUGAAAAAGAAAAAAAAGAAAAAGAAAAGAAAAAAUAUAGUGAAAGUGAAUGUGUUUGUUUGUAUUUUUUUUUUAUAAAUGUAUUUUUUUUAUGAUAAAAUUGCAAAGAAUAAAGAAGAAUUUAAUAUUUUGAUUUGAUCACGGUCAAGAAUUAUGAACUUACAUGUAAGUCGUAUUUCUAACACCCGAUGAAAGAACAAAAUUUUUAAAACUUCUUUAUCACAUCAAAGCCACGAAGCAGCUUACCUCAGGUAGGGUGCGUUAGGGGUGCUAAUACCUUCCCUAACCACAACCAGUCCCUUACCCGUGAAUCUCUGACAAGACCAGUACACCCGGGUUUCCUAGUUGCCAUCAAUUAAAUACUAGGUGGCGACUCCCAACGAACCAAUCAAGCAAACGCAUAACGAAAAAAUCGCCAUCGGACGCCGCGCGGGUCACGUGCGACACUCUUUUUGGCCAUAUGGUCCCGGGAACGAUCAGCCUCCUCCAACGCCGCCAUUUUUCUAGUUUAAUUUUAUUUGAACAUAUAAAUUUGUAAUGAAUAUUUGGCUUUUAUACUAAGGUAAUUUAUUUUUACAUACUUGAAUUUUAUACAAUUUUAUAUUUUUUAUUAUUUUCUUUUUUUGUUCAAUAAAUAAUUUUUAAAAAUAUAUAUAUAUUUUUUAAUUAUUACGCACGAAGUUACCGACAAACUUUGUUGGUCGUUAUAUUCCAGAUAGUUGAAAAAUAAUUACUGCAUAUACCAUUUCAACUGUUACAUCACCGAUGGAAUAAUUCCUUCGGUAUUUUAUAGAGGGUUUGGAAUAAAAUUACUCCAUAUGCCACUGUCAAUCACCGAAGAAAUAAUUCCGUCUGUAUAUUCCAGUGGAAAAAAAAUUGGCUUGCAUUUUCUAUCUGUAAAACCAUCGGGUUUUUUUGUACCGACAUUAAUGAAAUUACUGACAAGAGGAAUUUACCAAUGGACUGUUUCCGUCCGUAAAUCAGUCGGUAAAAUUCAUGUUGACGGAAUGGUAGAGUAAAUACCGACAAAAUAUUUUGUUGGUAAAACUGUUAAAUGCAGCAGUGUUAAGAAGCUUGUCAUCACUUGUGGUUUGCGGAUCUGCUGGUUAUAUUCAUACGUACACUCAUGCUUACAGUGCAACAAUCAGAGACGCCUCCCACGGCUCAUCAUUGAGCUCUGUACAGUUCCAAACUUAGUCGGUGAAAUCACACCUUGAAGAGCUUCAAAGCAUUUCAAGAGCAUAUUGUAUCUUUCAAUUCCAUGCUAAGUAAGAGGUGAUAAUGAGGAAGUAAGAAAGAUAAUUAUGACAAUACAUACAAAUAGAAAAUGAUAUAUAAAUCACAGAAAGUUUAUUUGAAGAAGUAACAAGAAGCUCCUGACUCGAGUUCUAGCAACCUCUCCUCGUCUACGUUUAGCAGAGGGAGAAUAUCGUACAGGACUAAAGGUAACACAACUGGAGGAGGUUAUGCAUACAAGAAAGCUAAGUGAUUAAUCAAUAGGUCUUUAAAACGGAACUGGUUUACCCUUAGGGUAAUCGACAUAAACCCUCCCCUUGUAGCGUUGAGCUGCCUCGUUGCUGUCGAUAACUUCUGUUGCAUAGUAAUAUGUGGGAUGAGCAUAGGGAACCUUCAUAACUGGUGGCCGCCUCUUGGCCCGGCCGAAGUGCUCAUCAAUGGCUGUAAAACCCUCCUGCCCAAUCUUAACAAGACGAUCUGCCUGACGUGCCAUGUUAACUACAAUUAAUCAACACACAAAGACAAGUAGCUGUUUAUAGGUUUUGUUGGUUUUCUUGCUUUGGCUAAUAUGUAGGAGGC
rnacentral:lncRNA from 1 species